CUGGCAUAAAGACAUCAAAGCCAUAUACUGGCCUUACUGCUUCAUUUAGAUACCCAUGAGGAUUGGGGACAUGGACUAUUUCCCAAAAAGCAGAGUAUAUAUCCUUACCUUGUAGACACAUCCAAAACUACCCUCUCCAUGCUUAAUGUUGAUUGAAAAUUUAUUGGUGGCAUUCAAUAAUGUGGCCAGUCAAAUAAUAGUAACUCUAGAUGCUCCUGGCUUUCAUUAGUUUCACCUCCUGAAUCGUGUUCCAUAUUUCCUGCAAAAGGGGGAAUGGGAUGAAGAAUUAUACCAUACAUCAAUUGUAUACACACAAAACCUGAACUUGACCCAUUUCCAAGCCUCAAUCAAUUCAUCCUUUAUCAAAUCAAGUCAGGACAUUCCCUUGCUCCCUGUUGAACAAGACAUAGUCAGACAUCAUGUGGAACUUUUUACUAAUACAUAUAGUGAUACAAGUACUAUGACUAGUUACCUUUUCUCUUUAGCUGCUUCUCCCUCUUCUUCAGCAUGUACAAGGUCAUGAAUAGGCUUACAUGAAUUAUUCUGGUAAUUGAUAUAGAGAUGAAAAUGAUCUGCUUUGGUUUCUUCUUGGAGCUGCUAUUUGUGCUUGAAAAGCAUCUUGUUGACCCAGAUGGAAAGAAACUAAACAGGAAAGCCAGGAAAUUAAAUAGAAAAACAAUAAAUUCCAAUAAAUUCACAUCAGCUAUGUUUGAGAAAGAGGUAAGCCUUUAAGUUGCAGAAUCAAGGGAUAAAAACCAGAGGCACAUAUGCAAGGUGAACAACUGAUUAAAAACUUUUGAAUAAGUAUACCAGUUGUCCUCCAGGAAAUUUGUAUCAGAAUUAUGUCAGGUAAGAAAAAAAUAAGUUCAUACCUAAUUCUGAUGAAGACAUCCUUACAUAAAAGUCUAGUCCAUUUUCAGCAAACUCUCUGAUAUCAAUCAAGUCAUUGAACCAGAGCAAGCAUACACUUCCCCCUCCUCUGAUAUCUGAAUCUGCAUAAGCAGUGCACAGCAGUUCCUCAAGCACAGGAAUGCACAUUCCUUAAGGUUCAUCCUUUCAUUAAACCAGGAGUUCUGUGUGUCUGGCAGUUUCACACCAGAGUACUUUACAAAUCCAUCACCCUUCUGAAAUCCAGUGGAGUACUUCAAACGCAUUCAUUUGACCAAUCUACCAUGUCCCAAUUGCUUUAGAACUUUGGCCUAAAUCCUUUCAUACAGUCACAUUUUGGAGAUUGGUAAAUCUUACAGAUGCCAUUCGCGCCAUAGAAUGCAUAAUUGUCAGACAUCCUUCUGUGCAGAUGAGUAAAGAGUCCUAUUAUUUAUGUAACCACAAUGUGUCACCAUUAGGAGUUAUCAAGAGCCUCAUAAUUACAGAGCUGUAAACAAUAUUAUAAAUACAAUACAUCUCCUUUCCAUUAAAAACAAAAUCAUAUGCAUAAACCGGGAUUGCUGUCAAUUGAGGUAACCCACUAAAUUAAAUACCAUUCCAUGGUCCAGCACAAAACUUUAAAGCUAAACCAUUGCUGAUAAGUAGUUGCAGAAAUCAACAAGGAUCAAUCCUAUAAAUAAAAUAACCUUUGAAUGAUCACCAACACUCUUCCAUGGUGACAGGAACCAAUCCAGGCCUGUUAUUCUGUUCCAAGCUUCAUGCCUGGUAUAAGAGUAUCACAUGGAUAAUCAAAACUCUGCCACAGGAAGUUUUCUAGGUCACUGUCAUUACCAUUUUUCAUAACAAGAUUUCCAGCUCCAAAAGCUGAGCAUUUGCAUCCUGUGCAGACCAUGAUGAAUUAGAAGACCAAAGAAUUUCUAUUAGUACCAUAAAGAACAACAAGAAUUCCCUCAUGAGUGACCUUUAAAAUUCCUGAUGAAUCAGUUAGUGGACUUUCUCUAUUGGCAAUCCAUACCACAGUCCCAUUACACACUUUCUUGUACCAUAUCCAAAGUAUUGAUUUUUGGAGUUACCUGGGCUGAAGACACCCAGUUCAAAGCUCCCACCCGCUGAAUUGAUGGUCUCACCAUCUCUAAUGAGUUGAUUUAUACUUAUGGUGUUUUCUGCAAUGGAGAUUAUCAAGAGGAAGAAUACAUAAGAAAAGAUAAAUACAACUGUUGUAAGAGCAUCCAUAGUGUUCCUAGAUAAAAAUUGCCUGAAAUUUAGGUGCUUUCCAAGUCUCCUUAUAUUUUAGGGCAUAGUGUCCUUCAUACGUCAUAGUCAAUGUAGUGUUCUAUUGGUAGGCCAUAGCUCCAGAAAUCUAUCAAUAUGAACAUUCAAUUCUUUUCUUUGAAUAUAUAUCUAUGUUAUUAGGUGGUAUGGUCCCCCUGAAUUGAAUAUUUUUUUGAUUUGUAUGACUUAAGAGUUAAGAGAACAUCAAUAUCCAUCAUCAUACAGAAUGAUCCAGUGGUCAUCAUCAUCUCCUAUAUCAAAAUUUGAUUUUCUGUGCUUCUUAAAAUGGAAUUGGGAUUAGUUUAUCCCUUGAAUGCACUUAUUGAGUUUUCACAUGAACAAUCUCACAUCUGUUUUAGAAGAAUUACAGGGUGAAGUAAAGACCAAGAACAGAAUGACUAUUGCAGCAAAUUCUCUUUCCUUGCCAAGGUAUCCAGGAUAAAAAUGACAGAUAAAAAUGCAUACAGGGAAAGUUUAAAUGCUAUAUCUUCUAUUAUUAAAUUUUAAUUAAUACUGAUGAAUGGCUUCCAUAAUACAAAUAAGAGACAUGGGCAAAGACUAACCACAGACUGCAUAAUCAGCUAAAACUGGCCCUUGCUUUUCAGGGCAAGAAUUUGGUCCCAAGACAUUCCUCUGAGAAAAAAGACCAGGCUAUCUAGGCUAAGAUUCGAGAAAUCAGAACCAUGGAAGACAUGCUUUGCCUUCAUCUGGCUAUCACAGUACACAUAAUCAAGGUUGAGAUUCGAGAAAAUCUAAAAUAUCACCAUAAAAGAAAAAAUUUGGCCUUGGAUUAUGCACACUUUUUGUGAAUCCACCUAGCAUUUGUAUCUAGCAUUUAUUCAUCUUUCUGAUCAGAAAUGGUAGGUGAGAGGAAAACACUGGUUGCCCACCAUCUAUAUAACCUUGUCUACUAGUUCAUAGAUUGUCAUUAAAUUUGAAUAGUUCUGUAAGUAUCAACAUUGUGUUUUCUAUCCUUAUAUGAAUAUCUUUUUAGUUUCUAAAUAAUUUUUUUUCUUUCUUAUGUAGAGAUUAUCAGGUUCCAACAAAAAUCAAUAGGGUGUAAGAUGGAGCUACCAAGUAAGUUCAAUAACCACAAGAAAUCACUUCAACAAGGAAUCUCACUUUUAGGAAAUGGUGAUUUGAUUUCAAACAGCAAGCUUAUUGCACUGGUGGUGGAUAGCAAUAGAAUUUGGCAAAUAUUUGAGAAAGCAAAUUUAGAAUCUCAAGAUGUUGAGACCCAAGUGAUGGGAAGUGGGAGACAUGUUGUGGAUCUCUUGGCCUCUAGGGCAAACUUCAAUAUCAUCAUCAUGGCUAUGGUACUCCCAAUCAAGAAUGGAGUUGAAGUGAGCUUAUCAUUUUUGUAUUGUGAGUGCAAAGUGUGCUAAGAGUGCAACGUGUACUCCACAUGUAAUGUGUGGUACUUGUUCACCUUUCUUAUUAUGCUUAUUAAUUUGCCAACAAUAUAAUUUAGAAACAACAAAAAGAAUCUACCAAACUCAUGAGAUGCAUCCUAAUUAUGAUUUCUGUAAUACACAAUCAUGCUUUAGAAACAACAAAAAGAAUCUACCAAAGUCAUGAGAUGCAUACUAAUUAUGCUUUCUGUUAUACACAAUUAUGCUAACAUGCAACAUGUACUACUCAUGUGAUGCAUAGAAUUUUUCACCUUUCUUACUAUGCUAAUUAAUUUGCCAAUAUAAUUUAAAAACAAUGAACAGAAUCUACCAAAGUCAUGCUAAAUGAUGCUUACUAAAUUACUAAUUAUACUUUCUGCUAUACACAAGGAUCAAACCAUCAUUCAACCUUUUAUAUGAUUACAUUAUUUGCUAGACUCCUAAGUAUUUUUCCAAUUUAUUUAUACUAAACUUUUUGUGUAUUUUAGAAAUAUAUGUUGUUUUCCCUUUUUAAAAUACUAUUGUUAUUAUAUUUUUUGUUAUUGUACUCAUGUAUUUUGUAUUUUGUGUUAUUCUACUAUCAUAGACCACUAGUCAGAUUUAAGCAAUAGGCAUUCAUGGCAAAAUGUUGGGUGUUACUGCUUGCUCAUAUGAAAGGGAGAGGCAAGCAUUUUUGGAUGCUGUGUGGAUGAGUUUAUUGGGAAACUGCUUACAGAAGUUGGCCUCUGUUCUGAGAGAGGUCCAAGAUGCCUAAAAGAGAGUUGAUCCCAAUGGAGGGCUCUAUUAACUUGCUAAAUAGACCCAAGAGAGGACUCUGUCAAUAUGUCAACUUGAUUGAAUGCAGAAAUUCAGAUAGAUUGCAGGUGAUCCCACUGAUGCAUCAAUAAGUUGCGAAGACCUACCUUCCUAGACAAUUCAAAGCAAGAUCAGCAACAGUUUUACGACUAUUCAAAGAUAAGUGAUUGUUUAUAGAUACCAGACGAACCAAUUAGCUAAAUAAUGUAUUUAAGUGCAGUAUUAACCCCAAAAAAGUGCAGAUAAAAGUCCAAAUUUAUUUUCUCUUCCCAUAUAAUUCUGUGAUCCAAAUGAAUUGUUCAAUACAAUCCCAAUAUAUCGAUAUUAGCCUAUCAAGAUUAGCAAAAUUUCCUUUUCAGACUUAAAAGAAUUGCUGUACACUAUGGUCCUCAAGAUACCAAAUCAAUUGGAAGAGGGUGGAGCACGUGUGGGGCUAGGGAGGGCCAUGGGGUCGGGCUUUGGAAGGAAAUCAGCAAGGAAGGUUUGCUACUGCUCAAUAAUGUAUCUUUCUCGGUGGGGGAUGGUAAAAUGGCGAGGUUUUGGAAAGACAUUUGGUGCGGGAGCACCCCCCUUUGUGAGGCUUUUCCCUCUUUGUUUGAUUUAGCGGGUUCUAAAGAUGCGUGGGUUGCGGACUAUUGGGAUCCAAUGGGGGAAGUGGGAGGGUGGACUCCUCUUUUCCUUAGACCUUUCAACGAUUGGGAAGUGGAGGAGGCGGAGAGACUCCUAUCGUCCAUUCAAGGGAAGAGGUUGGAUGCUGAUGGGGAGGAUAGGAUGCUGUGGAGAGGGACGAAAAAUGAGAUUUUUACUGUAAAAUCUCUUUACAAGUCUCUUGAUCAUAGCUAUGCAGUAUCGUUUCCGGGUAAUAUUAUUUGGAGUCCAUAUGUUCCUUCAAAGGUGAGCUUCUUUGCUUGGGAAGCUUCUUGGGAGAAGGUCUUUACUCAAGAUCAGCUUAAGAGGAGGGGUUGGAUUCUAGCCAAUAGAUGUUGCUUGUGUUGCGUUGAAGAGGAAACGAUAAAUCAUAUUCUUGUUCAUUGUUUUAAGACGAAGAUUUUGUGGGAUCUUUUGCUUUCUCUUUUUGGGGCCAAUUGGGUGAUGCCGUUUUCGGUGAGAGACACUCUAUUAAGUUGGUAUGUCUCUUUUAAGGACAAGAAUCAUAGAAAGGUUUGGCGGGCAGCUCUUCUCUGUUUAUUUUGGACAAUUUGGAAGGAAAGAAAUAGGAUAGUCUUCGAUAACGGGGCUUUGUCGUCUCAAAGAUUGAAAAACUCUUUUGUUUGUAAUCUCUUAUCUUGGGCUAAUUCUUCUAUAGUUGUAGGCCCUUUAUCUUUGUUUAACUUUGUGGAUUGGUUGGGUUCUUGUUGAGGGUCGGUGAGUACUUGUGUUUUUGUUGCUUGUUUUAGGUGUCUCUUGUAUACUCCCUGUAUGCUCUGGGUUGCCUUUCAAGCUCCCUUUCUCUAAUAUAUCUUUGUGUUUUUGCCUAUCAAAAAAAAAAAAAAAAAUUGGAACAAAAUCCUUUAGUAAUACACUUGUCUAUUCCAAAUCUCUGGCAUGACAUGGUCACUUAUUUUGUUAAUCAACACAAGCCAUCAGUAAUAUUAAUACCAGAAACAUAACUUCCUAGGCUGCCAGAAAUUUUUUCUUUCGAUAAGUAAACACCAAUAUAUUAGCAAAGGCAAAACGCCGCGAAGCAUACAGGGAGUAUACGGGGCGACAAGUGCCACAAAACAAAGGACCAAAAAACAACAAAAAACCCACCAACCCUCAACUGGAGGCUAUCCACUCCAGGAAACCUAUAAGGGACCAGGACUCCACACCAUUAUACAAUUUUGCCCACCCCCACAAAUUACAGACAAAAGAAUACUUAAUUUUCUGUAUAGCUAACUCCCCCCCCCCCCCCCCCUAAAUGCUAAUCUAUUCUUUUCUUUCCACACCGUCCAAAAAAUAAACAACGGUAUGGAUCUCCAUAUUCUCUUCCUCUUUUUGCCCACAAAGGAACCCUUCCAGUUGAUAAUCACCUCCUUUACAGUUUCUGAAAAAGACCCACUGGGCUCCAAACAGGCUAAGAACCAUCCCCCACAACACACUAGCCACUGUACAAUGUAUAAGAAGAUGAUUAGCAUUUUCCUCAUCACUACCACAUAAGUAACACCGGUUAGGGAUUUGCCAUCCUCUCUUUUGAAGCCUAUCAAUAGUAAGGAUCCUCCCCCAAGUAGCUUCCCACGCAAAAAACGCUAACUUGGAAGGCACAUUCUCCACCCAAAUCAGAAAAUUUGAGAAGGCUAUAAGGAGCUGAAGCACCCCCAAAGUAUCUUUUCUUUUUUUCAGAGAUGAUUUAAAAUAAUAUUAGGAGAAGCCUAACCCCUUAAGAAUAUCAGGAAACACCAAAAGAAGAGUCAAGAUUUGCAGGAUAUUACAACAUACAAAUAACUGGAAUAUCUGAAAAAAGAAUAUAUCUAUUCAAUUGUGUAUUGGGAAAUUUUAUGUUGUGCAGCUUCUAUUAUUGAACUUAAACAAAGAAAAUUGGCUUUCGUUCCAUGUACAAGUGGGACUGGUAAAGACUGGCCAAACUACAUAACCUGGCUGAAUAAACUUGGAGAAGCUAGUGACAUGAAUGAUAGGUCAUUGGGAAGACUGCUAUUAAUUGCAUCACCCAUCUUUGAUCAGUACUGAACUACCAUCACUGCUUUCAUGAAUAAUCAACCACCUCAACAAGACAGAAAAAGUCAACAUGAAAUGCCUUCUAUCGACCCUCUAAUAUUGUAAUGGUGUGUUCAUUGCCAGAAAAAACUGCAUGCUUGCAUUGUAAAGAAUCUGCUUCCAGCAUAUUCCUUUCAGUGAAAAAACCAGGCUCUUUAGGUUGACGUAAUGCACCCUCACUACUCAACAUCAGAACCACAGAAGACAUGUUUGGUCGAUCAUCUGGAUGACGUUGCACACAUAAUAGUCCCACAUUGAGUGCACGUAGCACUUCAGAUUGAUUGUACGUGUCACCCACAGAUGCAUCAAUCAGUUCCAAAGGUGUACGUUCCAUAUAGAGUGUCCAUGCCUACACCAUUCAAAGCAAGAUCAGCAGUAAUUUUAUUGCAAUCAAAUAGAGAGAUACCACUCGAUACUUACAUGCCCAAGAAGAUUAAGGUCAUGGUCUGGGUGGUUAAAUCCUCUGUUUCUCUUCCCACUAAUAAUCUCUAGCAGCAAAACCCCAAAGCUAAAAACAUCUGAUUUUACUGAGUACACUCCAUCAAUGGCAUAUUCUGGAGACAUGUAACCACUGUAGGAGACCAUUGAAGAAAGAUAUGAAGUUACAAGCAAUAGAAAUAAACUGGUGACAACAUUUCUACAUGUACUUACUAUGUUCCAACUACUCGUUUUGUUCUUGCUUGAGUUUCAUUUCCUCCAAAACUUCUAGCCAUGCCAAAGUCUGAAAUUCGUGGGUUCAUCUCAUUAUCAAGUAAAACAUUAUCUGCUUUAAGAUCCCUGUGGAUUAUUCUGAGCCUUGAGUCCUGAUGAAGAUAAAGAAGCCCACGAGCAAUACCAUUGAUAAUGACAAAGCGCUUAGGCCAAUCUAGUACCAUGCUUUGUAUUCCAUCUGUCAAUUUUUUUUUUUAUUCAGUCAGGAUAAUCCAUUCUACUUAUUGAAUUCUUGAAAAGUUGAAAAUAAUUCUACAAACAAAUGAAUUUCAAAUUUUUCAUUGGAGUGACUCAUGCCCAUUCUCAAGGACAAGAAAAAUUUGUCGGAGGAGCAUUAAAAGGAUAGUGAUUUUUCACAUUAGGGGUUCAAAACCCCCAUGGUUUAUAGAAGACCCAAAUGGACUAGAGAAAAAUGAAAGCAAGAAUUCCCUAGAUGGUUCAUUAUCUUGGAAGCAUUUGGUCAACAAUCAAUCUCUAAUAUAAUGAAGGACUAUGUCUCAAGAAAUAAAACACAAAGAUAGAUCACUAAAGCAUUCUGAGACUAUUUAUAUUGGGGUUUUAGAGAGAAACCAAAAAUGAAGAAAUUCAAGCUUUUGUUGGGCAUGUAUUCGUAGAUCAACAUCUUUUCUUCCCCAUGAAUGCAGCAUCCUAGAAGCUUCACAAGAUUUCGGUGCUGAAGUUUGGAAAUGUAUAUAACUUCAUUUUUAAACUCAUCAAGUCCUUGAUUAGAUUCCUUUGACAGCCUCUUCACAGCUAUCUCUUUUCCAUCUUGCAACAUACCCUGGAAUAAUCACUAGACAAGAUUUUUAGAAUUUUGACCAUGGUAGGCAUUUCUGUAUGAUUGAAUUGAUCUGUGAACAAAGAAGGGUACUCUCAAAUAAACACAUUAUUCAUGUUUCUUUCCUGGUUAGUUUGUGAUAUGAAUUACAGAAGGCAUAUCUGUAAAAGAUUUUGCACCUUCUAUAAAACUUCACAUUGAAACUUUUUACAGGGUCAUUCCAAGUCUUUUUUUGCUAAAAGAAUGGGGACUAAUUUUUGUACUUUUAAAAGCAUAUUUGCACUUUCAAACUUUCAAAUCCAAAGAAAGGAGUUUCAGAAAGUUCUGGCUCUAAUACUUGCAUCAAGGUGAUGACAUAUUGACCUUGAUUCCUAGAACUCCACAUUAUAAAGAUUAGGGACAUUGACUAUCUUUAGAAUUGCAGAGCAGUGUAUCGAUGUCAAUAUAAAGGAAGAGCAUAUUCUUACCUUGUAGACAGGUCCAAAACCACCCUCUCCAAGCUUAUUGUUUCUUGAAAAGUUAUGGGUAGCAUUCAAAAUUGUAUCCAAAUCAAAUAAUGGUAACUCUAGAUCCUCUUGUCUUUCAUUGGUUUCAGCUCCUUCAUUAUUGAGUUCUGUUGUCCCUACAAAAUCAAAGAAUCGAAAGAGUACAAAUUAAGUAAUAUAUAAGUAGUCAAAGUGUUCGAUCCUAAGUAGAGAUUGCCAUGGAUGAGGCUGAAGUCAUUUUGGGGCCAGUCAGGUACAAAAAAAAACCUGAACUUGAUCCAUUACCAGGCCUAGAUCAAUUCAUCAAAAUCAUGUAAUCAAGUGAGGACAUUCUCUUGCUCUCUUGAAACUUUUAGUAACACAAGGAAUAUAAAUUUUUACCUUUUCUCUUUAGCCUCUUCUUCAGAAGAUACAAGGUCACAACUAGGCUUAAGAGAAUCAUUCCCGCGAUUGACACAGUGCUGACAAUGACCCACCUUCUCUUCGUCACUUUUGAAAUGGCAUCUUGACCCAGAAGCAAAGCAAUCAUGCAGGGAAACCAAGAAUUAUAAUAGGAAAAGUAUACAUUCCAAUAUGGAGGAAGUUCUGACCCUAAAUAUUUUUGUAGUUUACAACAAUGAAUUCAAGGAACUGCAGUUGCUUGAAGUUUUGCAUGGAAUAGUGAACAAUUAGUGAAAAAAAAGAAAAAAUUGUCAUAAACAUGGCAAUACAUAGCAAUGUUUCUCCUUGAAGUCUUGUACCAAAUUGAUAUUUCUCAGGUAAGGAAUAGAUAAAACUCAUACCUAAUUCUGAUGCAGCCAUCCUUAUGUAGAAAUCUUGCCCAUUUUCAGUGAACUCCUUGACAUCAAUCAAAUCACCAAACCAGAGCAAGCAUCCACUUCCUCCUCCUUUGAUAUCUGAAUUUGUAUAAGCAGAGCAAGAGCAGUUCCUCAAGCACAGGGAUGCACAUUCCUUGAGGUUCAUGCUUUCAUUAAACCAGGAGUUUCUAGUGUCUGGAAGUUUGACACCAGAGCACUUUACAAACCCAUCACCUUUCUGACAAUCCAGUGAAGUUUUUCGUACACACCCAUUUGACCAAUCCAUCGUGUCCCAUUGGUAUGGGAACUUUGGUACAAAUCCUUUCAUACAUCCACAUCUUGGAGAUCGGUGUAUGUUACAGGUGCUGUACGCUCCGCAUAAUGCGUAGCUGUCACAGUCAUCCUUAUAUGCGGUUGAGUAGACAUUCCAACUCUUGGUUCGACCAAUCCAUAUCAAACGCUGUACGUUUCCAUUAGGAUUUAACACCAGCCUGGAAAGAACUGAGCUAUUAACAAGCUUAUAGGUAAAGUACAUCUCCUUCUCAUUGAAAACAAAAGAAUAAUUAAAAACUGGGUUUGGCCUCAAUUCAGGAAACCCAUUAAAUCGAAUACCAUUCCAUGGCCCAGACCGGAAAAUCACAGUUGAGCCGCUCCUCAGAAAUAGUUGUGGACAUCCACUAGGAUCAAGCCCAUAUGUAAAAUCACCUUUAGAAGGGUCGUCGUUGCUCUUCCAUGAUGAUAGGUACCGAUCCAGGCCUGUCACCGUGUUCCUUCCAUGCUUCAUGCCUGGUAAAAGAGUAUCGCCUGGGUAAUCAAAGCUCUGCCAUAGGAAAUUAUCUGGAUCACUAUCAUUUCCACUUUUUAUGACAAGAUUCCCAGAAUCCAAAAGUUGGGCAGUUGGAUUCCUUGCCGACCGCGAUGAAUUAGAAGACCAGAUGAGUCCAUUGGACCCAUUAAGAAUCACAAGACUUCCCUGGUCGGUGACCUUUAAAACUCCGGAUGAAUCAGUGACUGGGAGUUCUCUGUUGGCAACCCAUACCACUGUCCUAGGAGUCACUUUCUUGUACCAUAUCCCCAAGUAUUGAUUCUUUGAAGUACCCAGGUGGACAAAACCUAAUUCGAAGUUCCCACCAGCUGAAAUGAUGGUCUCCCCAUCUUUAAUAUGUUGAUUUGCAGUAAUGCUGUCAACUGCCGUGGAGAUUCUUAGGAUGGAGAUUACAUAGGAGAAAAGAAAUACAAGUUCUGUAAAUAAAUUCAUGAUUUCAUCAGGAAAUGGGUGGCUGACGCCUCAUUUGCUUCCCAAGUUUCCCAAGCCUCUUUCCUCUUCUCCUUCUUUCCCUGUGUUAUCGAUCUUUGAUGAGAAAAUAAAAAAUAAAAUAGAAUAAAAGUAUCAAAAAGCUGAGAGCGAAGAGGGGGAUUAGGGGUUUUGUAGUGGAUGAUCCCCUCUUAAGAAUUUAUUUUAAGGGAAUGAACAAAAAGGCCAAAUAAAAUAAUGUAGGUCAUCGAUGAAUGUUGACUCCUUGGCUUAAGGCCCCACCAAAAAUUCAAUGGGCAAUAAGAGUUUUGUAAGUAUGAUAUAGAAAGUAGUCAACUUUAAAUUUUUAUGCUUCUUUAAAUUGAGUCAUCUGAGAUAAUCUAAUAAAUGCCACAAUGGCAUCCUCAAAUACCUCAAUUCCACUAUUUAAGGAAGACCAAUCUUUCCUCUUCUGUAGGAGAAUUUAAAUAAGAGGUGAAGACAGUAUUCCAAAGAAGGUUUUUCCCUUGCGGAAAUUUGGAGGAAUUUCUGUUCAUACUUCCAACUCACAAAUGAGUGGUGGCUCUGAAUAUAGUACAGAUAAAAUUUCAUUGUGGAAAUCCACUAGCAAGCUCUGCAGUUAUAUUAAUGUAUAUGGUCCAUUCUUUUCCUCAUAAAUUAUGUAAGAGAAGGUGUUGGAGCAACAAUAUUGUCCGGCUACCUCAUCACCUUUCAUCAUUGGGUGCACGACUUGAAUUGGGCUAGAUGUCUCAAUUUUGGUUUUGUUUGGCACUACACUGUAAUGAGAAGGCGAGAGGUAGAGAAUAAAAGGAGAAGUGAGGGACCCAUGGCACUCAUCAAGGAAGAUAGUUAAAUACUAGUUAAACAAUCAAAGCUGAAAGAAAAAAAGGAAUGACAAAAGGGAUAGCCAAUGAAGAGGAAGUAGGGCGAGUAGGAAAGCUGGAUAAAAGAAGGCUUCUAGGGCUUGAAAAAAGAAUCACUGAUUCAAGGGGUUCUCUAAUGGCUCUUCUCUCCCCUUGUUUUCAACCAUCGUGUGUGUGUGUGUGGUGAGAAGAGAUUAUUUUUUUUUUUCUUUAUAAAAAAAUUUCUGAAGUUAUUAAGAGAUUGUAUCCGUGGGCACUAGGAUUGAGUUGUUGGAGUUGCAUUGAUUCAAUUCUGUAUAAGGUAUACUUCCCCUCUCUAUAUUCAUUCCUUUCCUUCAUUGUCAUUUCUGCAAAUAAUAGUUUUGUAAAUACAAUGGUAUAUUGCGGAUGAGAUUUGCAUAAGUUGAAUUAGUAAACUAAUUUAAUUUGAUGAUUCGGCUUAUGAUGUAUUUAUUCUUUUCUUUGUUUUGUAGAUAUCAUGUACUAACUUUUUCUUUCAUUUAUUACUUAUUCUUUUGUUUGAAUUUAUUUAUCCUACGGUCUAUUGGAUUUCAUGUUUCAGCAUUAGCAUUUUUUUUUUCAAUAAACUUAAAACUAUUUUUAAAAAAUUACUUGAAACCAUUUUAUUAAAUAAAAUGUGAAAAAAUGUUAUUUUAAUUUAGAUAAUCACCUAAGAAAGGGAUGGGAAAGUGAAUUUUGCUAGGAUAAUUCGGAUUUCUCUAUUUCCUAACCUCGGGUCAUGUAGGGGUAAUGUUAUUUUAAUUUAGAUAAUCACCUAAGAAAGGAAGGGGAAUGUGAAUUGUGCUAGGAUAAUUCAGAUUUCUCUAUUCCCUAACCUCGGAUCAUGUAGGGGUGAUGCAUCUAUCCUAGACUUUUUAUAGAUCUAACACAACAAAAAUAAAUAACAUUAAAAUCCAUUAUUCAUGUAGAUUUAGAGUUAGAAUCGAAACUAUGAUUUAGAUUUUCCUAGAUCAAUUUUUGUUUCAUAAACACUUUGAAAUCGUAGUGGUCACCGUAGAACUCGUCUACCCAACAAUCUUUUACCUGAUCUUUCCCUUUAUGGGUCUUGGCGGGAGAAAAAUAUGGACUUUUCUUUCUCUCUAAAGAGUGACUAGAGUUCCUUUCUUUGGAAUUUAAAAAAAUAUGAGAGGAAGAAUGAAGCUCUAGCCCCUUUUUAAGGGGUUUAUAUAGGUUUUCAUGUAGGUUUAAAUGACUUGAACCCAAAUUAGGUUUGAGCCACUUAAUCCAACCCACUUGGGUCCUAAUUAAUUAAUUAACUCUAAUGAGCUCAAAUUAAUUAAUUAGUUUAGUCAUAAAAUCUAAUGCAACUUUGCAAAUUUACUAAAAUGCCAUUAUUGCACACUUAUGAAUUAUAUACCCAAAAUACCCUCAAAGCAUUUGCCAUCAUGAAAUAAAAACUCGACUAGAGACCAUUGGGACCCAUAGGAAAACACUAGUUCUUUCAUAAUCCAAUUCUGAAGUUCACUCAACAUUCCACUAAAAAUAGUCAAUUGCAUUCCAAUGUCCUAUGAAAUUACAAUAAACAUAGCUCAAGUCCGUAACCUACAAUUCAUUACAUGUAGACUUUCCAUGAACUGGUGUUUGUAAUUUAAUAAGAUGGUGUUAUCACCUAUCAAUAUUAUCUCUCAAAUCCUUAAGUUGUAAAUCUCACUUAUUAUGUGAUCAACUGAUAUACUUUAGAUCUAAAGAGUAUAUGUCAAAUUUCAUUAUAAGAACUACUACGAUCACAAUUUUCAUGAUCACAUAUCCUUUAAAUUACCCAAGGGGACACUCUGUCGUAAUCCCAUGAAAUAUCAUAGUGUCUCUAUUGAAAAUACCUAUUGCCACUAGCCUCCAUCAAUAGUGACCUAAUCCGUAGGGGUAUUGACCACGAUCUCACUCAUAGGUCAAAGUCUCCUAUUGAUUUUGACACAAACUUAAUAUUCUUUCAAGGUUGAGAGUCCAUGUAGUAAGUAACUUGGUGAAUCAUGACAAUCGAUAGUGUUACAUAAUGAUUCACUGUAGGUCUUAUUUAGUGUGCAUCAUAUACACUAGUGCACUUACCAUGGGAAACCUAUUACGACAGUUAAGAUAAGUCAUCCUACUAAUUAGGAGAUGGUGCACUACAGUCUUUACUGAAUUAUCCAAAUCCAUAAAUUAACUGUGGAUAACUUAUCUACUUAUAAAGAAUACAUGACUUGUAUCAUUUGUGCAACUCUUAAUGCACACCUAAGUCAUAUACAAUGUAAAAGAUAUGAGCUAAAUGCUCAAAUCAAUGUCAGUGCAUAAAAGGAAUAACUAGGGGAUGGUCAAGUCUAACCUUGUUACAUUAUGUCUUGCCUUUAGGGGCUUAAUCCUAACAAAUUGAAUGUUAAAACUUUUUCGAAAAUAAUUAUAUAUAAAUAGGAUAUGGAGAUAAUAAUGAAUAAAUAAAGAGAAACAAUAAGAAAUUAGGAGAAGAAGAUUGCAAUUAUAAUAGUUCAAUAAGCCAUUUAUGUCCACUCUCCUUAAGUUCCCAACUAAGUGAGGGUUUCCACUAUCGUCAAGACUUGAACUAUAAGCCUUCAAUGUCUACACUUGGAUUCCAAUGUUCUAAUGGACAUUUACAACUUCUUUAAGUAAUCAACCUACUUAAGUAACUUCUCUCACAAUAGGUAAGUUAUAAGAAUGAAUUUAUGAACACCAAACCUAAUAGCAAGUUAGAUUCUCAAUAUAAGAAAGAAUUAGGAUGGACUUGAAGAUGCACAGAAGAAUUCACAACUUAAGAAAUGAGUGCACUUUUGGAAAAGCUUUGAAUAAGAGAAAACAUAAUUUUUCAAUUGAAUACAUUUAUUCUCUUAUCAAUAAAUACUCUAAAACUCUUCAAUGUAUAGUUUUCCAAUUUGGGGACCUUAGAAGCCAUAACCAGGGCUCGAUCAAUUGAGUAACUAAUUUGACCAGUUCACAAGUUGUUGUGCAUUCACUGGUAGGUAACCAUUGACAUUCAAACUCUCAAUACUGAGCAUUCAAUUCUACCAGUGGAGGCUCUACCACAAUUGGUUGAACAUAUGCUACUAGAUAAGAGAGAAGGUGCAAAGUGCACCUAAAUCGGUUGAGUCCAACCAACACAACCAAUUACUUACAACCUUGAUUGAUUGCACUAUAAAGUGCUUAAACAACUAUCAAUAUAUUCACAUUCUUAAAACCUUUUAAGAUAAAUUUAGAAAGAAUUUGACUCAAGAUUUUGAUAAAAAAAAAAAAAAAACAAGAAACCAUCAAAUUCUUUGGUAAGAAAUGAUCUUUUAAGUUUAAGGAUGGAUGAUUUUAAACCAUUAAGUGCAUAAAAACGAUUUAGACUCAAGUGCACCAACAAAUGUUAAUCUUAAAAUUAAUCUUUUAAGUCUUCAUGGAUCCAAAUUCUUCACGGUAUUGAUUUUCCUCCAAGGUUGCUUGAGCUUUCUUUAAAUUAUCAUAAGUGAACUUGAAAUAAUUAACUUAAUUUGAACCAUUAGUAACCAUAACCUUGUGUGGACCCGCAUUUUUCAUGUGCGUCCCCACUCGAUCGGCGAGACUCUCUUUUUAUUUGUGAAAAAUUAUUUAGUUUUGGAAAAGUUGGAGCCGCCACUUAUUUUAUUUUUAUUUUAAAGGGAAAAUAAAACAAGAAAGAAAAACCCUAAAAUAUGACUCCAUAAUUUUUGGAAAAAACAUGUCUUUGAAAAACCUGAGUCUAGGUCCGGGGAUCAGGUUACUUAUUGGGAAGGUAUCUCUAGGAGGUAGCACCCUUCUAAGCUCUAAAGAGGCCUUUACUGACUAAAUUGGGGAAAUGGGGCAAUUAAUUGAUUAAUUGUAGAUACCUAAGUAAGCUAGGUGAUUUUCAGAAAGUAGCAUGCUAAAUAAGGAAAUCAAUCACAAUAAAGGAGAGUUAGGGUGUGUACCUGAACCACUUCUUAACCGCUAUCAUAAAACAUCAAUGGUUAAUUCAGAAAUAUGACACACGACAUGCAUUUUAUCAAGGAUGAUCAAACAAGCAUCGAGGCAAUCAAGUAUGACAUCAAACAAGGGCAAUAACAUGCAUAUUCAUGAAAUUUUGGGAACGUACCUGGAUAGUAUAUAUAACUCCUAAUGUGCUUCCUCAGGACAUGGGGGUUAGAUAAUAAAUAAUAAAUAAUAAAUCCUAGCAUGCUUAUCUAAUUAAUUAGCAAAAACUAUCAGAAUUCGGAAUAAUUAAUUAUCAUACAUAUCUUGUAUACAAUUCCUAAAAAGAAAAAUGUAAAUAUGAUUACGAUAAAUAGUAGGGUGGUAGCAAAAGUAAAUUUUGAAAAAAAUUUCUUAUGUAGGGGUUUCACCAAUUCCCCAAAUUAAUAUACAUGAAUUUAGCCUAAAAUUAUCCCAUUUAUUGGGACCACAAGCUCUGAUUCGCGUUUUGUUCAAAACCAAAAUUUUUGUUGAAAAUUGAGAAGGAUGCGAAUUGAUUAAGAUACGGUUGCAUAUUAUUUUUUAAAAAGAAAAUAGAUUUUGAUUCUAGAGGCUUAAAUGAAUAAUAAAAAAAAUUUAAAAAGGGUUUUUUUUUUAGAAAAAGAGUUUUGUUUUAAAAUAAAAGAAAUUAAUUUUUAAAAUAACAAAAAUAGAAAACAGAAUAUCAAUCAAACCAAAAGGAAACAAAGAUCACGAAAUAAAGAUUUUAGAAAAUCUUGUCAAUUAAAGUGGUGAGAGUAAAGGCCAACCUUCAUGGGUUUCCAGUGGCCCUAAAAAAAAAAAAAAUUGACCAACAAUCACUAAGGCAACAAAUUUAUGACUUCCUAAUCAAACAAACUAACAAAAUUAUCAUCCAAAAACUAAUAUUUAGAUUUCAAGAAACACAUGAAUAACUAGAAUUAGACUAAUUGGAAUUAAAAAUGUAAACUUUACCUCACAAGAUCGAUUAAACUAAAGAAUUAAGAUCGAUAACACAUUCAAAUUAAAAAUAAACUAGAAUUUAAACUAAUCGGAAUUAAAAAUAUAAACUUUACCUUACAAGACCAAUUAAACUAAUAGAUUAAGAUCAAUGACCCAUUCGAAUUAAAAAUAAACUAAAAUUAAACUAAUUAGAAUUAAAAAUAUAAAUUUUAUCUCACAAGAUCAAUUAAACUAAAGAAUUAAGAUUGAUAACAUUAUUCAAAUUAAAAAUAAACUAGAAUUAAACUAAUUGGAAUUAAAAAUAUAAAUUUUACCUCACAAGACCAAUUAAACUAAUAGAUUUAGGAUCAAUAACUCAUUCAAAUUAAAAAUAAACUAGAAUUUAAACUAAUCGGAAUUAAAAAUAUAAACUUUACCUUACAAGUCCAAUUAAAGUAUUUAAGAUCAAUAACACAUUCAAAUUAAAAAUAAACUAGAAUUUAAACAAAUCGGAAUUAAAAAUAUAAACUUUACCUUUCAAGUCCAAUUAAACUAAUAGAUUUAAUAUCAAUAACUAAUUCAAAUUAAAAAUUAAACUAGAAUUUAAACUAAUCCGAAUUAAAAAUAUAAACUUUAUCUUACAAGUCCAAUUAAACUAAUAGAUUUAAGAUCAAUAACUCAUUCAAAUUAAAAAUAAACUAGAAUUUAAACUAAUCGGAAUUAAAAAUAUAAACUUUACCUUACAAGUCCAAUUAAACUAAUAGAUUUAAGAUCAAUAACUCAUUCAAAUUAAAAAUAAACUAGAAUUUAAACUAAUCGGAAUUAAAAAUAUCAACUUUACCUUACAAGUCCAAUUAAACUAAUAGAUUUAAGAUCAAUAACUCAUUCAAAUUAAAAAUAAACUAGAAUUUUAACUAAUCGGAAUUAAAAAUAUAAACUUUGCCUUACAAGUCCAAUUAAACUAAUAGAUUUAAGAUCAACAACUCAUUCAAAUUAAAAAUAAACUAGAAUUUAAACUAAUCGGAAUUAAAAAUAUAAACUUUACCUUACAAGUCCAAUUAAUAGAUUUAAGAUCAAUAACUCAUUCAAAUUAAAAAUAAACUAAAAUUAAACUAAUCGGAAUAAAAAUAUCAAUUUUACCUUACAAGACCAAUUAAACUAAUAGAUUUAAGAUAAAUAACUCAUUCAAAUUAAAAAUAAACUAAAAUUAAACUAAUUGGAAUUAAAAAUAUAAAUUUUAUCUCACAAAGGUCAAUUAAACCAAAGAAUUAAGAUCGAUAUCUCAUUCAAAUUAAAAAUAAACUAAAAUUAAACUAAUUGGAAUUAAAAAUAUAAAUUUUAUCUCACAAGGUCGGUUAAACUAAAGAAUUAAGAUUGAUAACUCAUUCAAAUUUAAAAAUAAACUAAUUAGAAUUAAAAAUAUAAACUUUAUUUAAACUUUCAUGUAAAUUAAAAAUAAACUAGCAUAGAACUAAUGAAUUGCAAUCAUAAAAGAGAGACAUUUAAUCUAAGAAAAAUAAAAGAUUGUUCGAAAUCGAGAUUUAAAAGAAUUUAUCACAAACAAUUAAUUAAACCAAACAACUAAAACCCAAACUAAAAAAAAAAAAAAGGAAAUAUGGUAUCAAAAAUCGAAAACUAACCUAUAUUGUAUCGGAAAAAAUACUCUCUUGAUGUGUCAAAAUGGCAGCCCAAUUAGUCUUUCAGGUCCUCUACCGCUCCCAAAAAAAAAAAAAACACUCUUGCGUGUCUUGAUCUCCUCUAAAAAAGAUUACUUUUUGUAUGUGAAUUUCUACUCCAAAAGAAAAAAAAAAAAUCUCCUCGCCAAAGAAAAAGUCUCCCUUGUCUUAGAUCUCUCUCCUCAAGAAAAACAAUCCCCCCCUCCAAAAAUAAAACUUCUAUCCAAAAAAAAAGGAAAUCCACUUUCCUUUCUUAUUUUCUACCCUUUUAUAACCGAUUCUCCCAUGGAAAUAAUAUAUGUACUAUCCUUCUAAAAACAAAAUCUCCUCUUUUUCAAAAUUCUGUUGAUUCUUCUUCCAAAUAGAUGGCGGCCCGUUUCCUCAUGCCCAAAAAGCCAAGAAAUAUGAUUUAGAAAACUUGUAAUAAGAUAAAAUAAAAUAAAAAUAAAAAUAAAAAUAAUAAAGAAAUCCAUAUAAGUCACACAAGUCAUGUAAGCCAUGCAAUCAUGCAAGUCAUAUAAGAAGUGGGUUUAAAAAUGCUUAAAUGGGCCUAAGGUGUUCAAGAAAGUGCCUAAGUCUAAAUUAGGACUGCCAAGGUCAUAAUAAGGGGUUAGACAAUCUUUCAACCAGAGUCUCCGAGGUGGUUCAAGAAAGGUAAAUAGUGUGAGUAGAUAUGGGCCACCAAGGAGCUAACUGUAAAAUAUCGAACAAGUUCUAAUAAGACAUGUGUUAGGAGGACAAAAUUGAGGGUCUACACCUUGUUUUGUGAUUAUCAAAACUUGAUUAGGAGAAUCCUUAGGUUAACAUAAAAUUUGAAACUAUUUUUUAAGUAAAACUGAAAUAAUUUCUUUUAACUAAAAAAAUAAAAAAAAAAUUGGAAUCAUUUUGUAAGAGUAAAUAAAAAUCAUGUUGUUGAUUGAAAUAUUUUCUUAAAUAAAAUUUUAAAAUAAUUUUUUGUAAUAAAAGAAAGUAAGAACCAUUUUCUGAAAAAAUAAAUGAACUCAAAUAAUUUUAUGGAAGUAAAAUUGCAUUUAGUUAAAUUUCUUAGUAAGAAAUAAAUUAGAAUCAUUUUCUUGUAAAUAAAAAUUAUAAAUUUCAUUUUCUUAUGAACAAAAUUGAAGGGAAGUAAUUUUUUGUACAUUUUACAAAUAAAAUUGUAAAAAAAAAAAAUCAGUUUUCUAAAUAAAAAUUUUAAAAAUCAUUUUCUUAUAAAUAAAUUGGAUUAAAACAUUUUUUUUAUAGUAAAAUUGUAAAUAUCUUCUUCUUAUUAAAAAAGUAAAUAGGUUAUAAGAAAAUUUCCUUGUAAACAAAAUUAUACUUUGAAACAUUUCCCAUAAAUAAAAAUAAAUCAAAUGUUUUUUAAAAUAAAUUGAAACUUUCUUUUGUAAACAAAAGUAAAUUGAAAUAAUUGAAUUGGAAUAACUUUAUUUUAUUUUUUUAUGUAAAUAAAGUCUUUUGAAUAACCUUCUCAAUAGGUAACUUGACAUUUUAAUCUAUUUUUGGUUCAUAGAUUUGUCUUUCCCCGAUAAGAAGUCCCACAAGGUUUUCUUUAUUAUUUUAUUUUCCCUUUAAUCUAUUUUUGGUUCACAGACUUGUCUUUCCCCGAUAAAAAGCCCCACAAGGUUUUCUUUGUUAUUUUAUUUUCCCUAUAGAAAGAACUAAAAUAAGCAAUAAUUCCAAAAUACCUAAAAAUGAUUUUCAAAAAUAUUUUUCCACCAAAUCCAAAUGUCACCAUCAAGUGGGGAUGCAACGAUUCACAUUUAUAGAGGAUAUGUAAGUCUUCAUCCCAUUGGAUCCUAAUUAAUUAAUUAGUUCUAUUGAAUUUCAAUUAAUUAGUCAAAUUCAGAAAGACAAUUAAUAAACUUUUGUGCAAUCUUAUGUUUACACAUGAAUAAAAAAACCCAAAUAUCCCUCAAAAUAUUAUAUCACUAAGGAAUGUAAACUUGAGCUAGGACCAUUGAGACUUAUAAGAAAACACUAGCUCCUUCAGAACUAAUUCUAAAGUUAAUUCAACAUUUCAUUACAGAGAAUCAACUCUACUCCAACAUCCUAUGAAAUUAAGUUGAAAAAAUGAAUUGAUUAAAUCUAAUUUAAUCCAUUUCUUUGGUAUAUAAUCUACUAAUAAUUCAUUGCAUGCAAUAUCUCCAUAAAUUAGUGUUUGUAAUUUAAUAAACUAGAAGCUAUCAACCUUUCAAGACUAUUUUUACCAUCUUUAAAUCUCAAAUAUCUUCUUGUUAUAUGACAAUUGACAAACUCUAUCUCAUCAAGAGAAUAUGUAAAAUUUCAUUAUAGAAAUUACUGUAUCAUCACAAAUUUUAAUAAUAAGUCCUUAGGAUUACUCAAGUAGAUAGACUAUCUCAAUCCCAUGAGAUAUCAUAAUCUCUAUCUCGAGAAUAUUUGUGUUUUAAUCAACAAUGACUCAAUUCAUAGGUUCUCACUCAUUGGUUAAAACCACUAAAGACCUAAACACUAGCUCAAUAUUCCUUAAAAAUUAAGAUUUUAGAUUGAGAGCUCAUAUAACAUAGUAGUUUGGUGAAAUCAUGACUACUCGAUAACCAAUGUUAUGAUUCAUCAUAGAUCUUGUUCAAUGUAUAAUCAUAUACAUUACUGCACUCAUCAUGAGAAAGUCAUUCCAAUGACCAAGACAAGUAAUCUCUCCAAUUAGAAGGUCGUGUACUACAAUCUGAUAUGGAUUGCUUAAGUCUAUGAACCAUCAACUUAUAAGGAACUCAUGACUUAGAUUUUCUAUGCAACUCCUAAAACAUCAAAGUUAUGUACUAUGUAGGUAACGCAGGCUUAAAUGCUCAAGUCAAUUAUAAUGCAUAAAUAGGAUAAUCAAGUGAAACCGAAAUCAUAAUAUAAAUAUUAAUGAAAUUAUAUAUUGUUAUAUUAUGACAUGCUUUUCAAGGCUCUAUCCUAAAAAAUGACAAUUCACUUUCUAUCCUCCAUGCUUUGUUUGUUCUACCGAAUAGAAUCUAACAAAUGAGUUCACAUUAGAAUCUACAAAUCUGAACCAAUGCCAAUUAUACUUACAAUACUAAAAGCUUGGGGUUAUAGAUUACUUUUGAGCCUAUGUAAUGGUCCUUAGAGAGGUACAAAUCUUUGGAAGCAAAGCUCAAAACGAUCUAAGCUCAAGUCACCAAGUUGAAAAGGUUGGACAACUCGGCCACUGAGAUUGCUUAGAGCCAGGAAGAGGCACAGAACAAGAGUGAUCGCUUUCUAGUUGAGAAUAAGGUUUUACUUGUUUACCACAAGAAGGUGAUUGAAUAGGGUGGCAGGUGGCUUACUACACACAGAGCUGUAAAAGGCUAAGGAGGAUUUGGUGACCUAGAAAGUGGAGCACGUAACUAAUUUUCAGAGGCAGGUGGGUGAUAUGUAUCUCUUUGGCUGCUAAUAAUGCAUGAAAAAACACAAGAUCAUGGAGGAUGUAGAGACUCAUGAAGAGAACAAGGACGUGGGGAUGGUCUUUGGCGCCAAGAAAGGGGCUGACCAACCUAGGGACUCUAAGCAACUACCUGGGAUGGGAGUUGAAAAUGAAGAUCAUCCAAUCAAAGUUGGUGAAUAAUUUCUUUUGUCACUUUUCAAUAUUUUACCUUUUUGGCCCGUAUGAUGUUUAGACAAUUUCCACUUCUUGUUCCCGAGAAUGUUUGGUCAGGUUUGUUGAUGCUUUUGGGCAUAGUUUUCUAGUUCUUUUGUGUGAACUUUAUUUUGUUAUAGUUAGCAUUCAGGCAUGCUCUUUGCACAGUUUCACUUUUAACUAGCCAUAUUCAACUUCAUAGAUCAAUUGAAGUGAUGCCAAAAGUUAGAUAAUAGGAUCACAAUUUAGGGAUAUAAGUGUCAACGCCUAUAACGGCAUGGGGCAUACUGGCCUUGAUGCCUUGACUUUCAUACCAUGAAGAUUGGAGACAUGACUCUAUAUAUUACUAAUUCAUAGAUUAUCUACUACCAAAAGGAAGAGCAUAUUGUGCGACUACUAGGACAAUAUGUAUAACUCUUGCAGAUUUGUAGGAUACAUAUUACAUCCAGUCUCCAUUUUGGUAUUAAUUUCUAUGAUAUUUACCAUGAAGACAGGUCCAAUCCACCCUCACGACAUGUGAAAGCUUUUAGUACUAAAAAUGAUGAUUUGAAGAUACAAGGCAAGAACUGGGCUCAGGGGGAAUCAUUCCCAUAGUCGACAUACAGCUGAGAAUCACCCCACCUUCAUUUCUUCCAUUGGGGUUGCUAUUUGUCCUUGCAAAAGCAUCCUGAUCCAGAUGGAAAGCAAAUAAAACGGAAAACCAUGUACUAAAGUAGGAAAAGCAUUGAUUCCAAUAAUGAAGGACCAUUGAUCCCAAAUAUAUUCCUAGUAUUCAACCAUGGAAGCAGGAGUUUAGGCAACUGUAACUACUGCAGGAUUGGGGAAUCAUGCAUUAUACAGAAUCUGUUUAACUGUAAUUGAAAGCUAAAACAGCAUAAUCUUGAAUUUCUAUGUGGACCAGUGCUAGACUUAAGAAAAUUCAUUUUUGUGCUUUAUAGGAGAAACUAUUUUCCUCCUAGAAGUUUUGUGUCAAAUUUACCUUUCUUGUGUAAGGAACAGAUAACUUCAUACAAAUUUUGAUGCAGCUAUCCUUUAUAUAAAGUUCUUAUCUAUUUUCAGCUAUAGCUAUCAGUCAAAUCACUAAACUAGGCAAAGCAUCCACUUCCUCGUCUAUAUCUGAAUUUGCAUAAGCAGUAUCAGAGCAGUGAGCACCCAACGCCCUUGCAGUUCAUAGUUCGAUUACUUUGAUUAAACCAGGAGUUCUGCCUGUCCAGGAGAGUACUAUACAAACCUGUCACUGAUUUGAAGAUCCAGUGGGGUAGUCCCGAACACAUCCAAAUCAUUUUGGAAUAUGGGCACAAACCUUUCCAUACACUCAUAUUUUGAAAAGCAGUUAAACUUACAGAUGCCAGACACACCACUCAAUGCACAAUUUUAGUUGGUUGGCCAUGAACAAUAAAUCAUUUUCCCUGGAUUUAUAUUCUGGCAUUAAGUGGUAUUCAUUCCCUUGAUAUAAAUAACAAAAUCAAUCCCAAUUUGCAGCUAUAAUCUACUUAAAUCUCACAUGUCAUCCCCACAAAAUUAUUAAGCCCAUUAAUUAUUGUUUCCGUUUUGUCAUAAUUUCUGUCAAUUGUUUAUAUACAUAACCUUUUAUUCUUGAUGCUAAAAUUUAGAUAAGUAAGAAGUAUUGAGAAAAUGUAUAUAGUCAACUCCAAUUAGUGAACUCCAAUACGAUGUAUAACUUCCAUUAUAUACAUACCAAAAGCACCAACAGAGAUUGAUCAUAUGAUGGCAUCUUAGAUGAGUCUUUGGUUGGAAGCUAAGUAGUGUGGUUGUGAAAAGUCACCAAAAGUAGUUGGAAAUUGAGCUUAUAUGCUUAUAGGUCUAAAGACAACAAAACAUCAACAUUAAGCAUCUUCUAUCGAGCUUCUAACUGAGUGAUGGUGGUGUGACUGCCAGAGGAAGAAUUUACUUCCAUCAUACUCCUAUCAGUGAAGAAACAAGGCUCUUUAGGCCGAGGUAGUGCACCCUCACUACUCAACAUCAGAACCACGGAAUGCAUGCUUGGUCGAUCAUCUGGGAAACGUUGUACGCAUAAUAGGCCGACAUUGAUUGAACGUAGCACUUCAGAUAGAUUGUAGGUGUUCGCUAUUGAUGCAUCAAUAAAUUCUGAAGACCCACCUUCAAUAUAGAGUGUCCAUGCCUAGAGAAUUGAAAAGAUGAUCAACACUGCCUUUAUAUAGUGAAAUAAGGAAAUAAGAAAAUAUUACCGAAUGCUUACAUGCCCAAGAAGAUUAAGGUCAUGGUCUGGAUGGCUAAAUCCUCUGUUUCUCUUCCCACUUAGAAUCUCUAGCACCAAAACACCAAAGCUAUAAACAUCGGAUUUUGUGGAAUACAAUCCUUCACUUGCAUACUCUGGAGACAUAUAACCUCUAUAGGAAACCAUUGAAGGAGGGGUUAAAUUCACAAGCAAGAGCAAUAAGAGUAUAUGCACAUCACUAGAUAUACUUACAAUGUUCCAGCCACUCUUGUUGUGCUUGCUCCAAGUUCAUUCCCUCCAAAACUUCUUGCUAUUCCAAAGUCCGAAAUUUUUGGGUUCAUAUCAUUAUCUAGUAAAACAUUUUCUGCUUUGAGAUCUCUAUGGAUUAUCCUGAGUCUGGAGUCUUGAUGAAGAUAAAGAAGGCCUCGAGCAAUACCAUUGAUAAUGAGGAAGCGCUUGGGCCAAUCUAGUACAAUGCCUCGCAUUUGAUCUGUCCAUUUUAUUUUACUUUUUGUCAUUCAAGGUAGCUCAUUCUACUAGGAUUGUUGAAUAGAAAUUGAGAGAAUAAUUCAAAGCAAUGACAUAAAAAUAUACUCAUUUUGGUGAUUAAGGAACACUGUCAAGGUAAAUGGAUAAUGGAUCUAAACCCUUAAUAGUAUAUAUUAGAGCCAAAAGGUUAGAGAAAAUGGAAGUAAGAGGUAUUUUCUAGAUAAAUGCAUCUAUGCUUUAUCUUAUUCCCAAGUUUUAUUUAUUUAUUUAUUUUUUUUGGGAAUUGGUCAAAUCCAUUAAAAACAAAGAAUUUCCCUAGCAUUCAUCGGAGAAGAAAAACAAAAGAGACGUCACUUGACUAGACAAACAAAUUAUAUAGUGGUUUUAGAGAGCCAAACCAAAAAUGAACAAGUCCAGGCUUUUGUUGGGCAAGUAUUCAUAGAUGAGCAUCUUUUCUCUGCCACAAAUGCAACAUCCAAGAAGCUUUACGAGAUUUCGGUGCUGAAGUUUUGCAAUGGAUUCAACUUCAUUUUUGAACUCCUUUAAUCCUUGUCUAGAAGUUUUAGACAGCCUCUUUACAGCUAUUUCUUCUCCAUCUUCCAAUAUUCCCUAAAAACAUCACAUUCUUUUUAUUCUGAAACCUUUGCAGAUUAAAUGAAACUUGUCAAUAUCCAAAUGUGGAGUCCUUAACAAACUAGUGACAAAAAAAUAGCUGUGUUUGUUGUGUACCAUUAACUUGUAAGUUGUCUUCUACCCAAAAAUCAGACUAUACACUUACCUUGUAGACAGGUCCAAAACCACCCUCUCCAAGCUUAUUGUCACUAGAAAAGUUAUUGGUGGCAUUCAGUAAUGUAGCCAACUCAAAUAAUGGUAACUCUAAAUGCUCCUGGCCUUCACUGGUUUCACCCCCAUCUGAAUUGUGUUCCAUGUAUCCUGUAAAAAGGUGAAUGGAAUAACAAAUUAAAGAAUAUAUGAAUCAAAUAUAUAGAAAACCUGAACUUCACCUAUUUCCAAGCCUGGAUCAUUUCAUCAUUCAAAUCAAUCCAGGCCAAUCCCUUGCUCCUUUUGUUGAAUAAUACAUAAUCAGACACCAUGUGGAAGUACUUUUGACUGAUACAUAUAGUGAUAUGAGCAAUAUGAUUUGCUACUUACCUUUUCUCUUUAGCUGCUGCUUCAUCUUCUUCAGCAUAUACCAGGUCAGAACUAGGAUUAGAAGAACUAUUCCCGUAAUUGAUAUUGAGAUGACAAUGACCUGCUUUUGCUUCUUCUUGGAGCUGAUAUUUGUGCUUGAAAAAGCAUCUUGAAGCAGAUGGAAAGAAAUUAAGCAGGAGAGUCAGGUAAUAAAAUUGAACAACGAUACAAACUCCCAUAAGCAAUAACUUCUGAUCCAAAAUAUUUUUUUUUUGUUUACAACUAUGAAAGCAGGAGUUCUAGGAGCUUGGGUUGCAGUAGGAUUUGAGGGCACAAAUCAGUUGGCUUACUCAUGUGUUCUACCAUCUACCCCGCUAUAAUUGAAAUUUAACAGAAAAAUAUUCCAACUUUUGAGUGGACCCCUGCUUUACACUCUAGACUGCAGAAAAUAAGUAGGUUAUUCCAUGAAAACAUGUGCAUGAUAGCUGGUCUCAGAUUUUUCACAUCAGCUGUGUUUGAGAAAGAGGUAAGGAUUUAAGUGGAAAAAUCAAGGUAUAAAAACCAAAGGCAUGUAUGCUGGGUGAACAACUGAUUAAAAACUUCUGAAUAAGUAUACCUGUUGUCCUCUAGGAAAGUUGUAUCAGAUUUAUGUUUUUCAGUUAACAAAGAAGAGAUAAAUUCGUACCUGAUUCUGAGGCAGACAUCCUUACAUAAAACUCUUGUCCAUUUUCAGCAAAUUCUCUGAUAUCAGUCAAGUUACCAAACCAGAGCAAGCACCCACUUCCUUCUCCGCUGAUAUUUGAAUUUACAUAAGCUGUACAAGAACAGUUCCUCAAGCACAGGGAUGCACAUUCCUUAAGGUUCAUGCUUUCAUUAAACCAGGAUGUCCGUGUGUCGGGCAGUUUCACGCCAGAGAACUUUACAAAUCUAUCACCCUUCUGACAAUCCAGUGGUGUACUUCGAACGCAUCCAUCUGACCAAUCUGCCAUGUCCCAAUUGCUUUGGAACCUUGGCCUAAAUCCUUUCAUACACUCACAUUUUGGAGAUUGGUCAAUCUUACAGAUGCCAUUUGCACCACAUAAUGCAUAGUUAUCACAAUCAUCGUUCUGUACACUUGAGUAUUUAACCCAUUGGCCUUUUUCAUCAAUCCAUGUGAACCUCUGUGCGUAACCAUCAGGAGUUAACACAAGCCUCGUAAGAAGAGAACUGUUAACAAGAUAAUAAAUGAAAUAUAUCUCCUUUUCAUUAAGAACAAAAUCAUAUGUAUAAACUGGGUUUGGUGUAAAAUGAGGAUAACCACUAAAUCGAAUACCAUUCCAUGGCCCAGAGCGAAAAGUCACAACCGAAACAUUCCUCACAAAUAUUUGUGGAGAUCCACUAGGAUCAAUCCCAUAUGUGAAAGUACCUAUAGAGGGGUCAUCAGCACUCUUCCAAGAUGAUAGGUACCGAUCCAGGCCUGUUACUCUGUUCCAUCCAAGUUUCAUGCCUGGUAGAAGAGUAUUACAUGGAUAAUCAAAACUCUGCCAUAGGAAGUUUUCCGGGUUACCAUCAUUCCCAUUUUUCAUUACAAGAUUUCCAGAGUCCAAAAGCUGAGCAUUUGGAUUCUGUGCGGGUCGUGAUGAAGUAGAAGACCAAAGAGUUUUAUUAGCACCAUCGAGAACAACAAGAAUUCCCUGACUCGUUACCUUUAAGACUCCUGAUGAAUCAUUUAGUGGAUUUUCUCUGUUUGCAACCCAUACCACAGCCCUAUUCAACUCUUUCUUGUACCGUAUCCCCAAGUAUCGAUGCUUUGAAUUAGCUGGACUGAAGAAACCCAAUUCAAAGCUCCCGCCCGCUGAAGUGAUGGUCUCAGCAUCUGUAAUGAGUUGAUUUACAGUUAUGGUGUCUACUCCAAUGGAGAUUCUUAAGAGGGAAAACACAUAGGUGAAGAUAACUACAACUCUUACAAAAGCAUCCAUAGGUGUUCCUAGAUAAAAAGUUGCUGAGAUUUUAGGUGCUUUCCAGUUCUCCUAAUAUUUUCCUUUUUCGCCUGCCUAAUUUGCUCAUACAUCACGGUCAAUGUAACUUUCCACUGGUAAGCACAUUACGCAGGAAAUGUAUUCCCUCCAUAUUUUUCUUGGAUUGUAUAGUCUCUGUCAUUUGGUGGUGUGGCCCCUUGAGUUAAAUAUCUGUUUGAAUUUGUAUGCUUAUCAGUAACAGUCAUCAUUGGACUAGGUAUCCAGUGUUAAUCAUCUUCUCCUACAUCCAAAUUUAAUUUUCUGCACCUCUUAAAAUCACUGGUGGAGCCAGCUGUACCAACGACGGGCACCUCUUAAAAUUGUAAUAGGGGUUUUGAACCCUUGACCUUAUGCUUAAAGGGAAAGACUGUUUUUCACUACACUAAAUACCAUUGUCCCUCUCUUUUUUGGCCCCCCUAAAAUAAUUCCUAUAUUUGUGCCCCUGUUGGAGCACAUUCCUAGCUCCGCCACUGCUUAAAAUGGACUAGGGAUUAGUUUAUCCCCUUUGAUCAAAUAUCUCCGAUUAUAAGCAACAUAUCCCUCUUGAAGAAUUAUCAGUUGAAGUAAAGACCAAGGACAGAAUGACUGUUAUAGCAACUCUCUGUCCUUUCCCAAGUUUCCAGGGACAUGUCAGUUAAAACUCGGAGUCACUGGUAGGAUUGAAUAUUCAUGUGGUCCAGUUUCUAAUUAAACCGAGGAGUAGCUUCCAUGGUAUACACCCGAUUUGACCAGGCAGCUUGACUCGUCUGGAUGUGCAGCAUGUGCUAGGGAGACUUUUGGACUGAGUAGCUGACCCAAAUGACACGCCACAGACUAGAGUUAUUUGGACUCGCUGAUAUUUUUCUAACUUUGAAACUAUCCCACGCAAGUCAUUGCCAGUUUUGGACUCAAUUAUAUGGGUGUGUAAACUUUUUAACACCUUAGAUAUCGACAUCAAACUGGUCCAGGCCAACUAGCUGACAAGAAUUUUACGGUCGGGCACCACCGACUUACCAUGCCUCCUGUGUUGAGACACUGCUUUUGUCUCCAUCCCUUUCCACAAGUUUAAUUCCAAGAUAAUUUGUGUUCUCAUGAACCUGGUGGUGCUAAACAAGGUCCCAUGCUAUUAUAUUAGUUGAGGUGAAUUUCUUUUCCUUUUCCUUGUCCUUUUUCUUUUUCAAGUUAGGAUCACAAAGUCCACACUUAGUGUCCAAGCUUUCAGAGUCAUUCAAGGUAUAGGAAUAAGAGGGUAUUUGCAGAGGUGUCCAAUAAGUUAAGAGGGUUUGAGUAAGGAGACCGUUUCUUUUGAAUAUCUGUUUGAUUGUUGUGACUUAGACAAGAACAUCAACCUCCAUGUACAAAUGCAACAGUGGACUAUCAGUAAGGGGUCCAUCCAUAAAUGGACUGAAUAUCUAAAUUUGAUUUUCUAUACCUCUUGAAAUGGAUUAGGGAUUAGUUUCUCCCUUGAAUGGACCUAAUAUUCAGUUUUCACAUGACCAAUCUCACCUCUUCUUUAGAAGAAUUACAUGGCGAAGAAAGAACCAAGAACAGAAUGGCUGUUGCAGCAAUUCCCUUUCCUGGCCAUGGUUUAAUACCUAUAAGAGACACAGGCAAAGACUAAGCAGACCGCAUAAUUAGCUGAAACUGGCCCUUGCUUGUCAGGGUAAGAAUUUGGCCCCAACACACCUUUGAGGGAAAAGACCAGGCUCUUUAUGCUGAGGCGAUGCAGCCUCAGUACCCAACAGCAGAACAAUGGAACACAUGCUUUACCUUCAUUUGAACAGAACAGUACAAAUAAUUACGGUUGAGAGAUGAGAAAAUCUAAAAUAUCACCAUAAAAAGAAAAAAUCUGGCCUUGGAUUAUGCACACUUUUUGUGAAUCCAGGGCCUGGAUUAUGCACACUCUUUGCGAAUCCAAGCCUUGGAUUAUGCACGCUUUUGCGAAUCCAUGUUGGAUUAUGCACGCCUUUUGCAAAUCCAUGCCUUGGAUUGUUCACAUUUUUUGUGAAUCCAGGGCUUGGAGUAUGUGCACUUUUUGCGAAUCCAUGUUUUGGAUUAUGCACAUUUUUUGUGAAUCCACCUACCAUGUAACUGGCAUUUAUUCACUUUUUUGUUCAAAAAUGAUAGGUGAGAAGAAACCAUUGGUUGCCCACCAUCUAUAUAACCUGUCUACAAGUUUGUAGAUGGACACCAAAUUUGAAGAGUUCUUUCUGUAGGUAUCAACAUUGUGGUUUUGAAUCCUUAUAUGCAUAUCUUUUUACUUUCUAAAUAAUUUGUUUUUCUUUCUUGUGUAAAUAUUAUCAGGUUGGAAGGAAAAUCAAUAGGGUGUAAGAUGGAGCUACCAAGUAAGAUCAACAACAACGAGAAAUCACUUCAACAAGGAAUUUCACCUUCAGGAAAUGGUGGUUUGAUUUCAAAUAGCAAGCUUACUGCACUUGUGGUGGAUAGUGAUAGAAUUUGUCAAAUAUUGGAGAAAGCAAUUUUAGAAUCUCAAGGUGUUGAGACCCAAGUUGUGGGAAGUGGGAGAGAUGCUCUGGAUCUCUUGGCCUCUGGGGCAACCUUCAAUCUCAUCAUCAUAGCUAUGGUACUCCCAAUCAUGAAUGGAGUUGAGGUAAGCUUAUCAUUUUUGUAUUGUGUGUGCAGCGUGUACUACAUGUUUAAUGUGUGGUAUUGUUUCACCUCUCUGGUUAAGUUUAUUAAUUUGCCAACAAUAUAAUUUAGAAAGAACAAAAUGAAUCUACCAAAGUCAUGACAUGGAUACUAAUUAUGCUUUCUACUACACACAAUUAUGGUAAACGUGCAUUGUGUAAUAUUUGUGUAAUGUGUGGUACUUUUCACCUUUCUUAUAUGUUAAUUAAUUUGCCAACAAUCUAAUUUAGAAGCAAUGUAAAGAAUCUACCAAAUUCAUUUUAAAUAAUUCUUACUAAUUAUGGUUCCUGCUAUAUAGAAGAAUCAAACUAUCAUUUAACCUUAUAUGAUUAAAUUAUUUACUAGAUCCCUAAACAUUUUCCAAUUUGUCCACACUUUUCUUUUUGUAUAUUUUAGAAAUAUAUGUUUCUCUCUCUCUCUCUCUCUCUCUCUCUUUCUCUCUUUCUCUUUUUUAAUAUUAAUGUUUUUAUAUUUUUUGUUGUCAUACUCAUGUAUUUUUUAUUCUUUAUUAUUCUUAUAUUAUAGACCACUAGGCGGAUUCGAGCAAUGGGCAUUUGUAGCAAAAUGUUGGGUGUUACUGCAUGCUCAUAUGAAAGGGAGAAGCAGGCAUUUCUGGAUGCUGGUGUGGAUGAGUUCAUUGAGAAACCGCUUACUCCUCAAAAGUUAGCCUCCAUUCUAAGAGAGAUGCGAAAUGCAUGAAUGAGAGUUGGAUUCAAUAGAGGAGUACAUCAAUGUUUGGAACACAAUCUUUGUUUUAGAAAUGCAUUUUGUCUAUUUUAAAUAUCUAGCAUGACAUGGUCACUUAUUUUGAGAACAAAUUUGGUUAAUCAAAACAUGCCAUUAGUAAAAUUAAAACCAGAAACAAAAUGUUCAUUCAUUGUAGGCCUGGUCUUCAUUUAAAAUUCCUAUGCUACAAGAAAAAAUGGGAAUGUUGGAAAAAACUCAAGCAACCACAAGGUAAAGAAGCCAACCUCCUUCAAAAGACCAGGAAACAUCAAAAGCAAAGCCAAGAUUUGCAGGAUAUUACAACAUACAAAUGGAUGGAAUGUUUGAAGAAACAAUAAAUCCAUCCAAAUGCAUAUUGGGAAAUAUUAUGUGUUGCAGCUCUUAUUAUUGAAUUUUAAUGUAGAAAAUUGGCUUUCAUUGUAUAUAAAAGUGGGACUGAUAAAGAUUGAAUACACUGCAAAACCUGGCUGGAAAAACUUGGACAAGCUAUUACCAUCCCCCAUCUUUGAUCCAUUCCAAAUUACCUAUCAUCACUGAACUCACCUCAACAGUGAUCACACAGUCACAGACCUGGAGACAAGCCAAAAAAAAGUUAGCAAGAAAUGCCUUCUAUCCACCCUCUAAUAGUGUAACAGGGUAUUCAUUGUCAGAAAAAACUGCAUGCUUUCUUUGCAAAGAAUUUCCUUCUUUCAUAUUCCUUUCAAUGAAAAAACCAGUCUCUUUAGGCUGAGAUAAUGCACCCUCACUACUCAACAUUAGAACCAUAGAAGAUAUGUUUGAUUGAUCAUCUGGAUAACAUUGAACACAUAAUGGUCCCACAUUGAGUGCACACAGCAGUUGAAAUUGAUUAUAGGCAUCCCCCAUGGACACAUUAAUCAGUUCCAAAGGCAUACCUUCCAUAUAGAGUGUCCCUGCCUACAACAUUCAAAUCAUGAUAGCAAUAGUUCUAUUGCAAUGAAAUAAAGAGAUAUUAGUUAUUACUCCUUUUGUGAGUGUUUAGCUAGAUUGACAAUUCCGGACAAAAUUCUUAAGUGUUUCUAACUCAGUUUUUCCAAAUCCUUCUUCGGACUACUUGCCUAAUGAAGAUCAAGUUAUUGAAUUUGCUAAAGAGACCAAGGUAUGCACUUGAUGUUGGAGUUGGAUCAAAUUGAAUCAACCAUAUUAUUUAAAUAUUAUUUUUCUUAAAAUAUUUUUUAAGGAGUUGGGAAGGCUUGAGAAUCAUUUUUUACCAAGUGUUCAAAAUGCUUUGUUCCAAGAUUGAUCUAAGUAUAGGUUAGAUCGAUCUAGAUCGCACUUUCUUGAUGAUAUCUUAUCCGCUGGAUCAAGGGCUUCCUUCAUUCAAAAACCUAAAACUUGCUUCCUAUUUUGUAGAGAGAAUACUAGAGAGACACAACAAUCCUCCUUUUUUGGUUUUCCUCUUCUUUCCUAAUUUGGGGUUUUGGUUGCCAAGAAAAUCCAACAUUUUUAUUGUGAUCCAAAAUUUUUUUUAAUGGAUUUUCUUGAGAAAAAAUGGGUUGAUUCCUUCAUUCAUCUCUUAAUUUCUAAACUAUUGGGUUUGGGACUUGAGUUAGGUAAAUCCUUGUACACUUACUUGUUCUUCAUGGUGGAAUUUUUUAUCAGUUGUAGGCUUGUGAUUUUUUAUCUCUUUAGAGGUUUUCCAUGUAAAUUUUGGUUUCUUAUCUCUCUUUAUCUUAUUCUAAUGCUUGAUUAAUUUUUAGUUUUAGUUUUUCAUUUAAUACUUGUGGAUAUAGAUGAAUGGAAGAACAAUGAAUGAUAUAGGAGUGAUUUUACUUGGAUAUCAUAGAUAGUUUCUUUGUUUAUUUUGGGCAAUGUUAUUCAAUAGAAUUGGAAACUUGCAUCAAUGAGAAAUUGUACUCAUGAACUGUGUGGGGGAGUGUUGAUUCAUUUACAUGUGACUUGCAUUUGAAAAUUGUUGGGGGAGUGUUGUUGCAUUCAUGUUUGCAUAUGAUCUUCACUUUGUGUUGGAAAGUGUUUGAAAAGAAAAUGAAAAAUUGUAAAAAUCUCUAAGGUUAGAUAAAUUGUGUUGGGAGACCUUUUAAAUUGGUUAAUAACACUAAUUCUCUCUCUCUCUCUCUCUCUCUCUCUCUCUCUCUCUCCCCCCCCCCCCCAGGUGUAGUCCAUCUUUGAGAUUCACUUUCACCUUUGUUUCUCUUCCUACUUAAAAUCUCUAGCACCAAAGCCCCAAAUCUAAAAACAUCUUAUUUUAUUGAGCACACUCCAUCAAUGGAAUAUUUUGGAGACAUGUAACCAAUCUAGGAGACCAUUGAAGGAAGAUAUGAAGUUACAAGCAAUAGAAAUAAACAAUUGGAAACAUUUCUAUAUGUACUUAAUAUGUUUCCACCACUUGUUUUUUUCUUGCUUCAAAUUCAUUUCCUCCAAAACAGCUAGCCAUGACAAAGUUUGAAAUUCUAGGGUUCAUCUCAUUAUCAAGUAAAACAUUAUCCCUAUGGAUUAUUCUAAACUUGGAGUCUUGAUGAAGAUAAAGAAGUCCACAAGCAAUACUAUUAAUAAUGACAAAGCAUUUAAGCCAAUCUAGUACCAUUGUUUGCACUUGAUCUAUCAAUUUUUUUAUUCAUCCAAGAUGAUCCAUUUUUCUUAUUGAAUUUUUGAAAAGUUGAAAAUAAUUCUAGAAAUUGAUUUUUUGAAAAGUUAAAAAUAAUUUUGGCAAAAAAUGAAUUAAAAAUUUUUCACGGGAGUGACUCGUGCCCAUUCUCAAUGACAAGAAAAAAAUUGUCCAGAGAGCAUGACAAGGGUAGUAGUUUUUCAUACUUGGGGUUCAAAAUCCCAAUGGUUUAUAGUAGGCCCAAAUAGACUAGAAAAAAAUGGAAGCAAACUUGGAAGCAUUUGGUCAAUCUCUAAUACAAGGAAGGAAUAUGUCUAGAGAAAUAAAACAAAAAAAUAAAUCACUAGAGCAAUAUGAGACUAUUCAUAUUGAGGUUUUAGAGAUAAACCAAAGAUAAAGAAAUCCAAUUUUUUUCUAGGCAUGUAUUUGUAGAUCAACAUUUUUUCUUCCCUAUGAAUGCGACAUCCUAGAAGCUUCACAAGAUUUCAAUGUAGAAACUUGGAUUGUUUUAUUAUUUAUUGAAUGGCGAGUUUGCCUUUGUUAUUUACCCCUUUUAUAAUUUAGGAUUUAGUGAGAAAGAGAAAAUUAAUUGUAUGAACAAUUGUAAUUAAAAGGAGAAGCAGAGCCUUCACCAUUAUAACUUUUCCAUCUUCAUUUUAUCAACGUAUUUUUUAGUGUUAGUUAGUGUGCUCCAUGGACCUAAGGAUCACACUAAUCAUUGAACCAUGUUAAAAUCUCCCAUCUUUAUUUAUUUCUACUCAUGUGUGGUUGAGUUAACAUGCCUCAAUUUAGGAAACCCACUAAAUCAAAGGCCAUUCCAUGGGAUGGAUUGAAAGAUCACAACCAAGCCACUCAUAAUGGUUUUGGAUAUCCACUAGGAUUAUGUGCCUAUGUAAAAUCAUCUUUGAGAGGGUCAUCAUUGCUCCUCUACGAAGAUAGAUACUGAUCUAGGCUUGUCACCAUGUUCUUACCAAGAUUCAUGCCUAGUAGAAGAGUGUCGCAUGGGUAAUCAAAACUCUACCAUAAGAAGUUUUUUAGGUCAUUAUCAUUUUCAUUUUUUAUGACAAUAUUUCAUAACUUCAAAAUUUGGGCAAUUGGAUUCCUUAUCGACCACAAUGAAUUAGAAGACUAGAUGAUUUUAUUAGAACCAUUAAGAAUCACAAGAAUCCUUUGUUUGAUGAUGUCCUUUAAGGUAAUAUCUUGUUAUUUUAUGUCACCUGACAAUUUUGAGUUAAAAAAAUUUCUAAUAAAGCCAAAAUUGAAAAAUAAAAAAUGUAAAAUUAGGAACAUGCAUGAAAUUUGGAUGGGAGAAUUUUAAGAAUUUUAAUGGUCAAACAAAUGAGUUGAAUUUGUACCACAUUAAUGUUAUUAUAGAGAGUUUCUUAAGAUAUUAGAAUUAAUAAUUUUGGAUUUGAAGAAUUAAUUAUGUUGACAAAAAUAUAGAUAUAUGGUUUAGUAUUAUUAGCAGUCAAACUUUAUUGAAGAAUGAGAAGUAUAGAUUGUUGAUAUUUUUAUUGAAGUUAGAUUGUUGAAGUUUAGAAUUUGAAUGCUAUAAUGGAAUACCAAAACAUCAGUUACUACAACAAUGCUAGAAUGCCAUUUGAGUUUGCACCAAUUUACAAAUCAAUGAGGGACUACCUCGCACCCAAGCCUACAUGAGAUUUUACAUCAAGAAGAAAUCUCCUAAAUUCUUGGCCUACUCAAAAGUAUUAAUGAGAAAUUAUCUGCACAAUGAUUUUAUAAAUUUUUAUUGAUGUUAAUAAAAAAUAAUGCUAGAAAAAAUCAAAAUUGUCCUUCAUUGAUAAUUUUAACUCAUAAAAAUUGAAGACAAACUAUUUAUGUUCAAUUUUGAGACUAUUGAAUUGUGUUAAUGUUAUAUUAUACAUUGCAUUUGCAUCAUAGCUGUGUUAAUAUGUUAGAUAUAUAUAUAUGGCAAAAAAUAAGGCCAAUAGAGAGAGCAAAUUAAAAAAGAAAUGAGAUCUCUAAUAUGAAAAACAUAAAAAUUUACCCUGAAAAGACUCCAAAUGAGAAGUGCAUUUGGGUAUGGACAUACAUCAUUUGAUGAAAGCCCAACAAUAAUAGUACAUUAUAUGAUUGGGUGUAUCCAUUUCCAUUUUCUAUUAAUUAGCAAGAUCUAUAUAUUUUAUAUAUUUGGGUUAAAAUAAAACAUUUGUUUAAUGUUUGAAUGCUUAUUUUCAUGUAGUUUUAGCCUUUGAUUAUUACUUAUUAACCCUCUUCGGUGCACACUGAGCAAUGUGGAAAUGCUCAUCUAUUUCUCUUCUUUUUUUUUUAGUUGCAUGUAUUAUUCAUGAGGACCCAUUGGUGGAUCAAGAGGGUUUCAAAAUGUCUUAGGAGGUUUAGGAGUUGCUUAAAAAUAUUGAUGUUUAUUUGUGUUAAAAUUUUGGAUAUUUACUAAUGGAAUUUGAAUAUAUGUAAUUUAAUUAUACUUUGGUUUGUAAUGAACAAAAUAUAGGAACACUUGAUUUAGAAAUGAUGUAGAGACUUGGAUGAUUAUCUUAGGUGAACAAGUAAUAAGGUAUUAACAGCAUUUAUUGGCUAGUGAAAGCUAAUGGUAAAAAAAGUAAGUUUGUUUAAAAUUAAAUUGUGAUAAUCCCAGUAUAAGAAAAAAAAUCUGAGUUAGACAAGUUGAUUACCAUAUUAGAUGAGAGUAACCCUUAGGGUCAAACCUUUGACUAAGGGUCAUGGGUCAAGUUAUAGGUUGCUUGGAAUUUGAUUCGUGAGAGCAUGGUAUCAAAGCCAAGGUUGCAAUAAUACCUUGGCUUGGGAUAGUAUUUAUGUGUAUAGUUUUGUUUAUUCAUUUUUUUUAUGUAUUUAUUUAAUUGUCUAUAUGCUCAUUUAUUUAUUUGUUUGUGACUUGUGUUUGAUAAUCUUUUAUGGUAGUGUUUGUUGGUGGUAAUAAGAUGCGAUACCAUAAUGAUUGUGAUGGAAUAAAUGCCUUAUUAUUAUAUGAAAAUUUUCAUAGAUUUGUUAGAUUAUUUUGUGUAUCUAUUUUUCUCAUCUUGAAGUUUGAUUGGAUUAGGUUUUGUCUAGUAUUUGAAAUGAUGAGUCGGCCAAGAUGAGAGAAAAUAGAGAAACAUAAGGAAAAGGAUUUAGUUAGAGAAAAACUAAGAGCAGCAACAAGGGAACUAUAAUAAACUACGCUAAGAGGCCAAACAUAGGCCCCUAAAUUUUUCUUGACCCAUUAUAAUGUAAUCCCACCCCUAGACCCCUACACAUGGUGCAUCAUCUUGGCUCAUUUUUGGCUCAUUCCAUAUUGGCACAAAUUAGGCCCUCUUGCUCUUAGUCCAUACAUUUUUUAUUUAUAUUAUUUUAUUUUAGCUCAUUACACUUUUAUCUUUAUUUUCAUUGCAUUUAUUUAUUUUUUAACUUUCAAUUUGCAUUUUAAAGAAUCAUGUGUAGAAAAAAAAAGGUGUGAUUUCAUUGGGACUUUUAAAGCGAAAAAUUAGAAUUUAAAAAGGAAGUCAGAAUUUUUAGAAAGGACUUUCAGCAAAACAUUGCAGCAAAAUUUUUUGUAAGGAAGACUUUGAGUAGAAAAUUUUUUUCAAGGAAGACUUUGAGUAGAAAUUUUUUAAGGAGACCUUUAGCUGAUUUUUUUUUUUUUUUGAGAAAAUAAAGUAUAAUAUUUUUUAGGAAACACAAUACACCCCUACAAAAAAUUGAAAGUAUAAUUUUUUUAUUGGGGUAAGAAAUGUAGAAUGAAGAAUUUUCUAAGGGCCAAGAGGGAAAUUUUUUUUUUUCGUCCCUCUCUUUUCCUUCUUCAACAAGAUAUCCACAUGCUACUAUCUAUCAAUACUCCUCCACUAUCACUAUCCACUUGCCAUCGAGGAAUUAAAAGUGACAUUACAACGUAGCACCUCUACCCCAUCGUCGCCAAAGAUGGUUCAAAGUGUCAACCGAUAUUAGUAGAUAUCACCAUAUCACUGAGUUGUAUCUAUCUUGGUCUUGGCUGCAAAGAGUCCCAUACCUGAGUUGGUAUCAGUGGGACCAACAAUAAUUCAAUCAACUCAAAUAUGAAUCCUUUAACCAACUCAUGGUACAACUUGAACUUACAACACAAAAAAUUCAAACUAAUUCAUUUUCAAAAUAAUCAUUCUUACCAAUAACCUUUUAUCAUUUUAUUUUUAUUUUUAGGAUAUAUCAUUAUUAAAAAUUGGUACUUGAUGUAAAAACGAAUAUGGUAGUGUUUCAAAAAAUUUAAGUUCUCAUAAACUAAAAUAGAUAAUAUUAAAUGUGAUAGUUGUUAAUUUAUUAAUUUAUUGAGUAUAUCUAAUUAUAAUUAUUUUUCUAAGUUUUUUAUUAUUUAUUUUAAGUUUUUUUGAAAUUUUAACUAGCAUAUUGUGCAUAUCAUUUAAUAUUGAUUUGAGAUAUCAAGAUGAAUAUGCCUUAAGACUUGCUAAGUUGGCAAUCGAUACUAUGACUUUGAAUCAUGUUUUUGUUAAGGUUGAAGUCAUCUCACAUCAGAAAAAGGUAAAAAGAGGAAGAAAGAGGGGGAUGGGUGAGAGAAGCUUUCUUGUGCUAUAAAAGAAAUCCUCCACCCCCUACAUUAUUCAUCCAUAAAAAAAAAGGUUUUCAUCAUUUUGUAAGCUUUUAUGUCCUCUCCUCCUAAUUGAGAGAAAGGUUAUAAUUUUGUCUUCAUAGUGAAUAUUUUUCGAUUUUGCCCCGUGGAGGUUUCCCUCAUAAUUAAAAAGAUUUUACCUUGUAAGUGAUUUUGGCCAUUUUUUAUUUAUUGCUCUAUUUGUUUAAUUAUUAUAUUUUCCAAUUAUUACUAUGAGUAUCACUUCAUAAUAGUGGUAUUAGAGUCUAGGUUUAGAAUAGUAGGUGGUUAUUUGUGUGGUUAAUACAUGUUUAGGAAAGUUUUAUCAAAAGGACAAUAAGAGCAUAAGGAAAGUGGGUUUUAAGUGAGGCCAUUGUGACCCCUCCACUUUCUUGGGGACUUUCUUGGUAUAUUUAACAUAGACACUUACUACUAUCCUAGGUUAUUGUUCAAUGUAAAAGUAAAACAAAUAGCAGUGAAAUUUGAAAUAGAAAAGUUCAAUGGAAACAAUUUUGGGCUAUGGAAAAUGAAAAUGAAUGCUAUCUUAAGGAAGGAAAAUUGCCUAGAAGCAAUUGGUGAAAGUCUAAAAAAUGUUGAAGACAAAAAGUAAAAGCAAAUGAAUAGGGAUGUUGUUUAAAAUUUGCAUUUAGUAGUAGCAGAUAAUAUAUGGUCAAGCAUCUUAGAAUUAUAGUCAACAAAAGAAAUUUAGGAUACUUUGACAAAACUAUAUGAAGUCAAGUUGUUGCACAAAAAAAAAAAAAAAAAAAAAAAAAAAAAAAAAUCCUUGAAAACAAAACUUUACAUUAUUUGGAUGUCAGAAUCUAAUUCGAUGAUUGAACAUAUCAACACCCUAAAAACUUUGUUCUCUCAACUAUCAGCUAUAGAGCACAAUAUAGAAGAGAAGAAACGUGUUGAACUUCUGUUCUAAAGUUUGCUUGAUUCAUAUGAUCAUCACAUCAUAAAUGUGGUCAAUGGUGAUUUAAGGACAAUGUUAGUCUUUAAUGAUGUUAUGAUUACUAUACUUAAGGAAGAAAGUAAGGAUUAAAACAAAUAAGAUAGAAUAUCAUCUUCUCAAUAAAAUGAGGCUCUUAUUAUUUCUAUAGGAAGAUCAACGGAACAUGGUUCUAGUGGGAGUCAUAAAUAGAACAUGUUAAAGUCUGGGAGUAAGAAGAAAGUUAAAUGUUAUCAAUGUGGAAAGCAAUGGCACAUAAAAUAAAUAAAUAAAUAAAAUAUCGGCAUUACAAAAGAGGGGUAGAGAAAAACAGGAAAAGAAAAUAAUCUACGCCAUCAAAUACUCAAAGUUGUGUAAUAAGCACUUUAGAUGAAGAUGAAAUCUUGUAUAGUAAGGAAACAACCGUAGAAGGUAGAAAAAAAUUGUUAAAGUUUGGUUAAUUAACUUAGCAGUAGCAUGGCAAAUGACUUUUCAUAGAGAAUGGUUUCACCAAUAUGAACCGAUCUCAAGAGGACUAGUGUACAUGGGUAAUGAUCGUGCCUCAAAGAUUAUUAACAUUGGCUCCAUCAAAGUAAAGAAGGAUGAUGGUUUAAUUCACACUAUUCUAGAGGUACUAAAUGUGAAGGGCUUAAAGAAGACUCUACUAUCAAUAGGGCAACUAGAUGACCUUGGAUAUGAAUUUCAUGCUAAAUAAGAAAUCAUGAAGGUAAUUAAAUGUGCACUUGUGGUGAUGAAGACAAAGAAAAUUACUGAAAAUCUAUACAUACUACAUGAGAGGACAUAUAAGCAUAGACUUUUAUUGUAAAUUCUAGAGAAGACUUGAUGAUGAGGUGAAUCAGAAAAAAGAUUGAAAAUCUUCUCUAAUUAAAGUUGCUUCCUAGACUCAAAACUUUAAGUUUAUCAUUCUAUGAGCACUAUGUUAUUAGUAAGCAACAUAGAUUAAGAUUCAAUAGAUCUACUAAAAGAAGUAAAGACAUUAUAGACUUGGUUUAUUCUGAUGUUUGGGAAUCAUUUGUCACAUCUCUUAGGGGGGCAGACUAUUUGGUGUUAUUUGUAGAUGAUUACUUCAAAAGAUGUUGGGUGUACCCCAUUGAGAGAAAAUCAAAUGUUUCUCCGGUAUUCAAAGCCUUUAAAGUGCAUAAGGAGCUUGAAAUGGGAAAAAAGAUUAAAUGUUUGAGGAUAGACAAUAGAGGAGAAUUUUGUAGCUAGGAGUUUGAUGUAUUUUGCAGUCAAGAAGGUAUACAAUGAAAAAACAUUGUUACUUAACUCCACAACAAAAUGGCAUAGUAGACCGAACAAAUAAAACUCUCAUAGAAAGAAUGAGAGCAAUGUUAAAGACUGUGGAAAUACCCAAAACGUUUUAGGCUAAAGUAACCAAAACCAUUUGCUAUAUAAUUAAUAAGCCUCUUUUAAUAGUAAUCGAGAUGAAGACGCCUAGGGACUAGUAAGCGGGUGGACUAUUUCUCUUUACACAUAUUUGGGUGUCCUACUUAUUUGAUGUAUAAUGACUAAGAAAGAACAAAGUUGGAUCUAAAAUCCAAAAAAUGCUCCUUCUUAAGGUAUAUUGAUCAAGUAAAGGGGUAUUGUCUAUGGAAUCCCAUUACCUGCAAGGUUACCAUUAGUAGAGAUGAAAUCUUUAUAGAAGACAUGUUACAAAGUGAAGAAGGAGAUAACACAUUGAUGAAAAAUAUAGAUACUAUAAGUUUUAUUGAAAACAAAUAGUUAGAACAAAGAACAACCAAAAUCUUUUGAAGUAGUUCUAGAGCUAUAUAAACAAGUACCAGUUAAGUUUGAGACAACUAAAGUGCAACAAUCAAUCAAAGAAAAAAGAAAACCUUCAUACCACUCAGAGUUUGUUAUGGCAACUGAUGUUGCUCAUUACAAAAGAUGAAGAGCCUUCAAAUUAUAGGAGAUCAUAAACUAUUCAGAUUCAUCUUUAUGGAUGACAAUAAUGCAAGAGGAGGUUGAAGCCUUACAUAAGAACCAAAUUUGGAAACUUGUACCACUACCACCUAGAAGAAAAACUAUUAGAAACAAGUGGCUCUAUAAGUUCAAAUGUGAUAACAAUGACUAAGUAGAGCGAUAUCGUGCAAGACUGACGAUUAAAGGAUACACUUAGAAAGAAGGUGUUGAUUUCAACAAGAUAUUUUUCUCUAGUUGUUCGGCUUACAUCAAUUCAAGUAGUCUUGGCUAUGUGUGCUAGAUUUGAUUUACACAUUGACCAAAAAAUUGCAUUUCUUCAUAAAGAGCUUAAAAAAGAAAUUUAUAUGCUCCAAUCGGAAGACUUUGAAGAAAAUAGGAAGAGAACUUGAUUUGUAAGUUAACCAAAUCUUUAUACGACAUAAAACAAGUGCUAAAAUGUUGGUACAAGAGAUUUGAUUCCCUUAUAUUGAGUCUUAGGUACAAUAGACUCAAUUCAAAUCAUUGUAUAUAUUAUAAGAGGUUUGAUGGUGAUGAUUUUAUUAUAUUGUUAUUGUACGUGGAUGACAUGUUAGUUGUAAGCCUUAACAAAGAUCGAGUCUAAGAAUUAAAGGCACAAUUGGUUAGGAUGUUUGAGAUGAAGGAUCUAGGACUAGUAAACAAGAUUCUAGGAAUGCAAAUUCACUGAGAUAAACAAAGUAGGAAGAUUUGGCUCUCACAAAAAAUCUAUUUGAAGAAAAUUUUACAUCGCUUCAACAUGCAUGAUUGUAAGACACUUUCUACCCCAUUUUUUAUGAAUUAUAAAUUAUCCUCAAGUAUAAGUCCUAGUAAUUAAGUAGAGAGGAUGGAACUAUCUUGAACACCGUAUGCAUCAAUAGAAGAAAACUUAAUGUUUGUUAUGAUUUGUAUAAGACUAGACAUUGCAUAAGUAGUAGGAGUAGUAAGUCAAUUCAUGGCAAAUUCAAGGAGAAAACACUAAAAUGUAGUUAAGAGGAUUCUUAGAUACAUCAAAGGGACGUCAAAUGUUACAUUGUGUUUUGAAGGAUCUAAAUUCAUCAUCAAAGACUAUGUUGAUUCAGACUUUGCAAGUGAUUUUGAUAAAAGGAAAUCUACUACGAGUUAUGUGUUCACUCUUACAAGAGUAGUUGUGAGCUGGGUUUCAAAACUCCAAACUAUUUUGACUCUAUAUACAAUAGAAGCAGAGUAUAUGGUAGCUACAUAAGCUUGCAAAAAAAGUUAUCUGGAAAAAAAGGUUAUUGGAGGAGUUUGGGCAAAAAAAAAAAAAAAAGAUUUCCUUGUUCUAUGAUAGUCAAAGUGUCUUGCAUAUUCCAAGGAAUCUAGUCUUUCAUUCCAAGAUUGAGAAAAUAUGGGUUCAAUAUCACUUUGUUCGAGAAGUGGUGAAAGAAGGAAUUGUGAAUAUGAAAAAGAUCCAUACAAAUGAAAAUCUAGCAGAUGCCUUGAUAAAACCAAUAAAUACUGACAAAUUUAGUUGGUACAAAUCCUCUUAUGGCUUGGAAAUAACAUAAGCAACAUGUGAUAGGGAAAUACAUGGAAGAAUGACUUCAAGUAGGAGAAUGUAAAGGUUGAAGUCAUCCUACAUAGGAAAGAGACAAAAAGAAAGGGACCUUCAUGAUGCUAUAAAAGAAGACCUCCACCCCUUACAGUAUUCAUCCCAAAAAAACCUCCUUCUAAUUGAGAGAAAUGUUGUAAUUUUGUUUUCAUAGUGAAUAUUUUUCGAUCUUGCCUUGUGAAGGUUUCCCUUCUAAUUAAGAGGGUUUUAACAUGUAAGUAAUUUUUUCAAUUGUUUCAUUUAUUAUUUUAUUUAUUGCUUUAUUUUCUUUUUAUUAUUCCAUUUCCAAAUUAUUGUUGUAGGUAUCAUUUCAUAACUUUGGAAGGUCAUCCAUGGCCUUCUAUGUUGACAGGAACCCAUUAAACCUAUUACUAUGUUUCAUUCUAAUUUCAUGCCUUGUAGAAGAGUAUUGCAUGGAUAUCAAAACUCCGCCAUAGGAAGUUCUCUAGAUCACUAUCAUCUCCAAUUAUCAUGGCAUAAUUUUUAAAUUCCAAAAGUUGAGCAUUUGAACUUUCUACAUGAAUGUAUUACAAUACAAUGCUAUUAAGAACACCGAGAAUGGAAAAAGUCAUUGGUCCAUGACCUUUAAAAUUCCUUAUAAAUUAGCUCAGUGGGAAUUAUACUAGUCUCCAUAAACACUUUCUUGCAUCAUAUCCCUAAGUUUGAAUUUGUGGAAUUCUCUAGGCUAAAAAACCCUAGUUUAAAGCUUCCAACAAUUACAAUGAAUAUCACACCAUCUACAAUGAGUUGAUUUAGGGUUGACUUGCAUAUAACAUGACAAUUUUGGUUUGUUGGCCAUGAUCAAUCAAUCAUUAUUCCUAGAUAUAUAUAUACUAGCAUUAAGUGGCAUAUAUUCCCUUCAAAUAGACAAGAAAAUAAAUCCCAAUUUAUGGCUAGAAUCUACUUAAAUACCAUAUGUUAGCCUCACAAAAUAAUUAAGCACAUGUUGUUUGUGGUCAUAUUUUUUUUUCUUUUAUUGAUUUUGACAUGUUAAGAUUGUAAUCUCAUUAAAUUAUUCGAGAGAGAAACCAAAACCCAUUACAGCAUAAAUGAAAUAUAAAAAAAAAAGACCAAAAACAGAGUCAAGAUUUCCCUAAAAAAAAAAAAUGCUAGUAAUUAGUAUUUUUGAAAAUAAUAGCUUUUAUUACAUGGUCAACUUCUAUUAUUGAAAUUAUAUACUAUGAAUAACCAUCACCAUCCAUACAAAAGGCAGUAGCAAAGAUUGCAUACCUGAUAAUAUCUUAGAUGAGUCAAAGUUGAGAGAAGUUUCCAAAAGUAGUUGAAACUUAAGUUUAUAUGGUCACAAGUCUAAAAAUAACAAAACAUCAAAAUGAUACAUCUUCUAUCGUGCUUCCAACUGUGUGAUGGUGCACUGAGUACUAGAAGAAGAAUUUGCUUCCAUCAUAUUCCUAUCAAUGAAGAAACAAGGCUCUUUGGGUUGAUAUAGUGCACCCUCACUACCCAACAACAAAACCACAGAAUGCAUGUUUGGUCGAUCAUAUGGGAAUCGUUGCACACAUAAUAGACCCAAAUUGAUUGAACGUAGCACUUCCGAUAGAUUGCAAGUGUUCACGAUUGAUGCAUCAAUAAAUUCCGAAGACCUACCUUCUAUAUAAAGUGUCCAUGCCUAGACAGUUUAAAAGAGGAUUAGCACUACUUUUAUAUAUUGAAAUAAGGAAACAUUACCAAAUACUUACAUGCCCAAGAAGAUUAAGCUCAUGGUCUGGGUGGUUAAAACCUCUGUUUCUCUUCCCGCUUAUAAUCUCUAGUACCAAAACACCAAAGCUAAAAACAUCGGAUUUUGUGGAAUACAAUCCUUCACUUGCAUACUCUGGAGACAUAUAACCUCUGUAGGAAGCCAUUGAAGAAGAGGUUGAAUUCACAAGCAACAGAGAUAAGAUUAUAUACACAUCACUAGAUAUACUUACAAUGUUCCAGCCACUCUUGUUGUAUUUGCUUCAGUUUCAUUUCCUCCAAAACUUCUUGCUAUUCCAAAGUCCGAAAUUUUGGGGCUCAUUUCAUCAUCUAGUAAAAUGUUUUCAGCUUUGAGGUCUCUAUGGAUUAUCCUGAGUCUGGAAUCUUGAUGAAGAUAAAGAAGGCCUCGAGCAAUCCCAUUGAUAAUGAGGAAGCGUUUAGGCCAAUCUAGUAUGAUGCUUUGCAUUUGACCUGUUCAUUUUUUUAUCAUUCAAAUUAACUUGUUCUACUACUUAGAGAGUUGAAUAUAAAUGAAAAGAUUGCUAAGAAACAAAUGAUUUCAAAUUCCAUGAGAGUUGUUUAGAGCAAUGACAUGUAAAAACAAAAAGGAGUAUGAUUGAAACUCAUUCUUAGUGAUUAAAGAACACUGUUAAGGACACACAAAUGGAUAAUGGAUCUUAAUGGUAGGGAUCCAAACCCAUAGUUUUUCAUAUAAGAUCCAAAAGAUUAUAGAAAAUAGAAGUAAGAAAGAUUUUCCAUAUUAAUACAUCUAUUCUUUAUCUUGGUCCCAACAAUUUUUCUUUAGGAUCGGUCAAAUCUAUUAUAAAUAAAGAAUUUUCCUAGCAUAUGCAUAGGACAGGAGAAAAAAAAAAACAAAAACCACUCAAGUAGAUAAAGAAACUAAAUAGUGGUAUUAGAAAGCCAAACCAAAAAUGAACAGGUCCAAGCUUUUGUUGGGCAAGUAUUCGUAUAUCAACAUCCUUUCUCUGCCAUGAAUGCAACAUCCAAGAAGCUUUACAAGAUUUCGAUGUUGAAGUUUUGCAAUGGAUUCAACUUCAUUUUUGAACUCUUUUAAUCCUUGUCUAGAAGUUUUUGACAUCAUCUUCACUGCUAUUUCUUGUCCCUCUUGCAAUUUUCCCUAAAAAUAUAAAAUUCUUUUUAUUCCAAAGCUUUGCGUAUUAAAUGAAACUUGUCAAUAUUCAAAAUGAGAAGCCCUAAACAAAUUAGUGGCACAAAAAUAUUAGCACAUGUACUGGUUUCAAGACAUUAAGGCAUAUAUCUAAAUGUGGUUUCAUUUAGAUACUAUGAGGAUUGAGGACAUCAAUAACUUCUCAAAAACUUGUAAGUUGUUGUAGGGUAUACCCUUACCUUGUAAACAGGUCCAAAACCACCCUCUCCAAGCUUAUUGUCACUCGAAAAGUUAUUAGUGGCAUUCAAUAAUGUAUCCAAGUCAAAUAAUGAUAGCUCUAGAUGCUUCCAACCUUCAUUGGUUUUACCUCCUUUUGAAUUGUGUUCAAUGUAUCCUAAAAAAUGGAGAAUGGAAUGAAGAAUUAAAGAAUGCAUAAAUCCUAUAUACAGAAACCAUGAACUUGAUCUAUUUCCAAGACUAGAUCAUUUCUACAUUUAUCAAAAUAAGCUAGGUCAAUCUCUUGCUCCUUUUUUUAGUAAUACAUAAUCAGAUAACAUGUGGAAGUACUUCUAACUAAUACACUUAGUGAUACAAGCAUUAUAAUUUGUUACUUACCUUUUCUCCUUAGCUGCUUCUUCCUUUUCAGCACAUACAAGGUUAAGACCAGACUUAAAAGAACUAUUCCUGUAAUUGAUAUAGAGAUGACAAUGGCUUGCUUUUUCUUCUUCUUGGAGCUGCUAUUUUUUCUUGAAAAAACAUCUUGACACAGAUGGAAAGAAAUUAAGCAGGAAAGCCAAGAAAUAAAAUAGAAAAACCAUAAAUUCCUAUGAGUAGUAACCACUAAUCCAAAAUAUAUUUGUAGUUUACAACCAUGAAAGUAGGAGUUCAAGGAACUGUAGUUUUCAUAGGAUUUAAGGGCACAAAUCAGUUGGUGUAUUACUGUGUUAUAGCAUCUGCUACACAAUAAUUGAAAUCUAAAAGAAAAUAUUCCAACUUUUGAGUAGACCUCUGUUUUACACUCUAGUCUUCAAAAAAUAAGAGUCCAUUUGGAAAAUGAUUUUAGGAUGCACUUUUAACCUAAAAAGUGUUUUUGAAAAAACAUUAGAUGUUUGCCAAAAUUUAGGAAAUAUUUUUAAAAUUUUGAAAAAUCACUUGUAGUAUGGAAAAAUCACUUGUAAUAUUUUCUAGAGAAACACUUGAUAUGUGAUUCUCAUAAAAACACUCAUGAGAAAACACUCCAAAACACACUCUAAGUAUUUUAUUCCAUGAAAUAAUGUGCUUAGUAAUUGGUCUCAGAUUUUUCACACUAGCAACAAUUGAGACAGAGGCAAAGCUUUAAGCCGCAAAAUCAAGGGAUAAAACUAGAGGCACAAAUGCAAGGUGAAAAAUUAAAAACCUUUGAAUAAAUAUACCAUGAAAUUUGUAUCAGAUUUAUGUUUCUCAAGUAAGAAAAAGAAAAGUUCAUACCUAAUUCUGAUGUAGCCAUCCUUACGUAAAACUCUUGCCCAUUUUGAGUGAAUUCUCUGAUGUCAAUCAAGUCACCAAGCCAGAGCAAGCAUCCACUUCCUCCUCCUCUGAUAUCUGAAUUUGCAUAAGCAGUGCAAGUGCACUUCCUCAAACACAGGGAAGCACAUUCCUUAAGGUUCAUGCUUACAUUAAACCAGGAGGUCUGCGUGUCUGGCAGUUUCACAUCAGAGAACUUUGCAAAUCCAUCACCCUUCUGACAAUCCAAUGGAGUAUUUGGAACACAUCCAUGGGACCAAUCUGCCUCGUCCCAUUUGCUUUGGAACUUUGGCCUAAAUCCUUUCAUACACUCACAUUUUGGAGAUUGGUCAAUCUUACAGAUGCCAUAUGCUCCACAAAAUGCAUAAUUGUCACAGUCAUCCCUCUGUGCAGUUGAGUAAAGAGUCCAUCCAGUGUUUUUAUCAGUCCAUUUUAACUUCCGUAGAGAACCAUCAGGAUUUAACACAUGCCUCAAAAUAACAGAGCUAUGAACAGUAUUAUAAAAUAUAUAUACCUCCUUUUCAUUAGAAACGAAGUUAAAUGUGUAAACUGAGUUGUUUGUUAAUUGAGGUAUUCCACUAUAUCGAACACCAUUCCAUGGUCCAGCACGAAAGUUUAUUACAAAACCAUUCCUCAAAACUAGUUGUGGAAAUCCAUUUAGAUCAAUCUCACAAGUGAAAUUACCUUUAGAAGGGUCAUCGGCACUCUUCCAUGAUGACAGGUACCAAUCAAGGCCUGUUACUCUGUUUCUUCCAAGCUUCAUACCUGGUAGAAGAGUAUCGCCUGGAUAAUCAAAACUCUGCCAUAGGAAGUUUUCUGGGUCACUAUCAUUGCCAUUUCUCAUAACAAGAUUUCCAGAUUCCAAAAGCUGAGCGUUUGGAUCCAGUGCAGAAUGUGAUGAAUUAGAAUUCCAAAGAAUUCCAUUAGUAUCGUUGACCAGAACAAGAAUUCCCUGCUGAGUGACUUUUAAAACACCUGAUGAAUCAGUUAGUGGACUUUCUCUAUUGGCAACCCAUACCACUGUCCGAGGAGCCACUUUCUUGUACCAUAUCCCCAAGUAUCGAUUCUUGGAAUUACCUGGACUGAAGAAACCCAAUUCAAAGGUCCCACCUGCUGAAGUGAUGGUCUCACCGUCUCUAAUGUGUUGAUUUACAGUUAUGGUGUCUACUGCAAUAGAGAUUCUUAUGAGGGAGAAUACAUAGGAGAAGACAAAUACAACAGUUCUAAGAGCAUUCAUAGUUGUUCCUAGAUAAGGAAUGCCUGAGAUUUUAGGUGUUUUUCAUGUCUCCUUAUAUUUUUCUUCCCCCUGUAAGAUUUGUCACACAUUUCUUCAUACAUCAAAGUCAAUGUAACUUUCCAUUGGUCAACCAUAACUUGGGAAAUCUAUUCAUUCCAUUUUUUUUUAUUUGUAUUCUAUGGUGUGGUCCCUUGAGUUGAAUAUAUGAAUUAACAUCGCAUCCACAUCCAAAUUUAAUUUUCCAUACCUUUGAAAAUGGACAAGGGAUUAGUUUAUACUACUUAGUAUGGCCAAUCUUAUCUCUUCUUUAAUUAGAAGCAUUACAAGUUGAAGUAAGGACCAAUAACAUAUUUUAGGUGUUUUCCAAGUCUCCUUAUAUUUUCCUUUCCCUCCUAAGAAUUGGCAUUGGGUUUGAUUUGUUUGACUUAGAGAAGAACAUUACCUCCACAUAUGUGCCUAUCAGUAACAUCCAUCGUUGGACUCAUUAUCCAAUGGUCAUCAUCUUCUCCUGCCUCCAAAUUUGAUUUUUCUAUACCUCUUAAAAUGGACUAGGUAUUAGUUUAUCCCUUUGAAUCUAAUAUCCUAGAUUACAACAAUAUAUGACCAAUUUCACCUUUUCUUUAGAGCUAUGUUUUGUUCAUGGAAAGUAUGAAGAAAAGAAAAAAAAAAAAAAACUGUGGAGGGAAAUGGUUUUCUCAUGUUUGGUUUCAUUGUGGAAAAUAUGAAAGAAAAUCAAAAUUAAUUUAAAUUAGUUAGAAAUUCAUGCAUCUUAAAAUUAUUUAAUCUUUAUAUAAUGGAGGAAAGUAAGUAAAAUGAGUUUGAAAAAGCAUAUAAAAAUAAUUUAUUGACUUUGAUUUUUUAUUUUUUAUUUUUCCUUCACUCUUUUUUCUUGACAUUUUUUCUCCCUAUUUUCUUUUUCUCACAUUUUUUCUUAAAUUUUUCAAGAACCAAACAUAACCUAAAAGAAUUACUAGUUGAAGUAAAAAAGACCAAGAACAAAAUGAAUGUUGUAGCAACCCUCUUUCCUUACCAAAGUUUACAGGAUAGGUUAGUUACAACUCACAGCCACUGGUAGGAUUGAAAAUAAAAAUGCAUACAAGGAAUACUGAAGAGUAGCUUUCAUGACUUGUCAUGAUGUGCUAGGAAGACUUUUGGACUGACUAAUUAGCCCAAAAGAUGCCCACUGGCUACCAUUAUUUGGAGUAUCUUGAGAGAAUGUUUCCAUAUCCAUUGGCAAUCUUUGCACCACUUUCCGAUGCCAUUAUAUCCCUCAUCUCUGUAGCCAUAAUAUCUAAUCAAGCAUGGACCAAGUUAGCAACCUUGUAUGCCAAUCAGUCUAAAGUCCGAAUCAUGGAUCUUAAGGACAAGCUUACCUAUGCAAAUAAAGGAGACAAAACCAUUACUGAGUACAUGUAUAUAGUGCACAAUGGAUGGAUUGGCUCUUGUCAAUGUUCAUAUUAAUGAUGAUGAUGUUACUUCAUGUUCUUCAUGGUCUUAGGAAGGAGUCCAAAGAUGUUUGCACUAUAGUUUGAAAUUGUAAGUUCUCAUGACCUUUGAAGAGCUUCAUGAUGCAUUGAUUGAACAUGAAAGGUCCCUUAAAGAAAAAGAAGCUCUCUCAAAAGACUCACCUUUCACUACCAAUUACUCUCAAAGAUCAAGGGAGCCCACCAAUCUCUAAUCCAAGGGAUCAUACAAUAAAGGUAUCAAUCUAAAGGCACCAUGAACCCAACUUCUGAUUGUGAGCAUGGACAUCAAAGCUGUAAUCAGAACCACUCCAAGCCUCAAUCUAAUAUGGUGUGUCAAUUGUGACAAACCUGGCCACAAUGCCAAACACUACUACCAAAUUUGAGGGUAUUCACCUAAAGCACCAUAAGCAAAUUAUACCACUCAAAUUAGGUCAAAUCCUUACCAUUGGUUGACUGACUCUAAGGCAUUACACCAUAUCACUUUCAACCCCAACAACUUGGGAAAUCAUUCUAAGUUUAACGGGAAUGAUGAUUGUUGGGAAACCUAGAUUGCUCUAUUCCUGGACCCAAAUCAUGUAGGGUGCAUGCAUUUAUCCCUAAGGCUCUUUAUAUCUAACAAAACAUAAAAACAUGGUGUCAAAAGCUAAUAUGAUUAAAUCUAGAGAAUAUUGAAAGGUAGAGGCAGACAUUUCUGGAUGAUCAAAUCUCUGGCAUAACAUGGUCACUUAUUUUGAGAACUAAUUUUAUGAAUCUAAACAUGCCAAUGGUAAAAAAUGGUUCAUUCACUGUAGGCUUAGCCUUCAUUUUUGGAUGUUCAUACUUUGAUUAAACCAGGAAUCCUGCCUGUCCGGGAGUUUCAUACCAGAUCACUUUACAACCUGUCGCUUAUCUGAUGAUCCAGUGGAGUAGUCCUUCCAUACACUCACAUUUUGAAAGGCUUCAUGAUAACUGAGCUAUUAACAAGCUCAUAAGUAGAUACAUCUCCAUUUCUUCAAAAGAAAAAGGAAAAAAAAAGGAAGCAUAUGUAUAAACUGGGUUUGGUGUUAAUAGAGGAAACCCACUAAAUCGAACGCCAUUCCAUUGUUAAGUGUGUUGCAUGGACAAUCAAAACUCUGCCAUGGGAAGUUCACUAUUAUUUCAAAUUUUAUGACAAGAUUUUUAAAUUAAAAAAUCUGAGCAUUUGGACUCUGCAGAAUGGAUUAUGCUAUUAGCAACACCCGGGAAUGGAAAGAGUUCCUUUGAAUUCCUAUAAAUUGGCGGAGUGGGAAUUAUACCAGUCUCCAUAGACACUUUCCUGUAUCAUAUCCCUAAAGUCUGAAUUUGUGGAUCGAAUUAUCUGGGCUGAAAAACCCCAGUUUAAAGUUGCCACCUGCUCCAAUGAUUAUCUCACCAUCUAUAAAGAGCUGAUUUACUGUUGACUUAAUAGAAUAAGACAAUUUUGGUUGGUUGACCAUGAUCAAUCAUUCAUUUUCCCUGGAUAUAUAUUCUAGCAUUAGGUGGCAUACAUUCCCUUCAAAUAAAUAACAAAAUCAAUCCCAAUUUACAGCUAGAAUCUACUUAAAUAUCACAUGUCAGCCCUACAAAAUAAUUAAGCACAUUAGUUAUUGUUUGUAGUCAUGUUUUUCCUUUUUGUUUAUUUAUUUUUAUUUUUACUUGAUUAUGGCAUGUUAAGAUGGGUAAUCUCAUUAAAUUAUUCCAGAGAGAAACCAAAACCCUUGUUAGAAGAAAAGAAAAAAAGACCAAAAACAGAGUCAAGGUUUCCUUAAAAGGUGCUAGUAAUAAGUAUCUUUAAAAAGAAUAGCUUUUAUUAUAUGGUCAUCUUUUAUUAUUGAACUUAUAUACUAUGAAUAACUAUCACCAUCCUUAUAAAAAGCAGCAAAAAAUAUUGAUCACCUAAUAACAUCUUAGAUGAAUCAAGGUUGAGAGGAGUUACUAAAAGUAAUUGAGACAUGAAAUUUAAGCUUAUAUGGUCAUAGGUCUAGAGAUAACAAAACAUUAACGUGAAACAUCUUAUUCUAUCGAGCUUCCAACAACGUGAUGGGGGAUUGAGUACCAGAUGGAGAACUUGCUUCCAUCAUACUCCUAUCAGUGAAGAAACAAGGCUCUUUGGGUUGAGGUAGUGCACCCUCACUACUCAACAUCAAAACCACAGAAUGCAUGCUUGGUCGAUCAUUUGGAAAACGUUGCACACAUAAUAGGCCCAAAUUGAUUAUGGGUAUAACUUCAGAUAGAUUGCAGGUGUUCCCCAAUGAUGCAUCAAUAAAUUCUGAAGACCUAUCUUCUUUAUAGAGUGUCCAUGCCUAGACAAUUGAAAAAAGAAUCAACACUUCUUUUAAUAUUGAAAUAGAGAAAUAUUACUUGAUACUUACAUGCCCAAGAAGAUUAAUGUUGCGAUCUGGGUGGUUAAAUCCUAUGUUUCUCUUCCCACUUACAAUCUCUAACACCAAAACACCAAAGCUAAAAACAUCGGAUUUUGUGGAAUACAAUCCUUCACUUGCAUACUCUGGAGACAUAUAACCUCUGUAGGAAGCCAUUGAAGAAGAGGUUGAAUUCACAAGCAACAAAGAUAAGAUUAUAUACACAUCACAAGAUAUACUUACAAUGUUCCAGCCACUCUUGUUGUAUUUGCUUCCGUUUCAUUUCCUCCAAAACUUCUUGCUAUUCCGAAGUCUGAAAUUUUGGGGCUCAUUUCAUUAUCUAGUAAAAUGUUUUCUGCUUUGAGAUCUCUAUGGAUUAUCCUGAGUCUAGAAUCUUGAUGAAGAUAGAGAAGGCCUCGAGCUAUCCCAUUGAUGAUGUGAAAGCGCUUGGGCCAAUCUAGUACCACGCUUCGCAUUUGAUCUGCCCAUUUUUUAUCAUUCAAGUUAACUUGUUCUACUACUUGGAUUGUUAUAAAUGGAAAAUAUUUCAAGAAACAAAUGAUUUCAAAUUCCAUGAGAGUUGUUUAGAGCAAUGACAUGUAAAAACAAAAGUGAGUAUGAUUAAAAAUCAUUCUCAAUGAUUAAAGAACAUUGUCAAGGACACACAAAUGGAUAAUGAUCUUAAUGGUAAGGAUCAAAACCCCUAGUUUUUAUACAAGAGCCACAAGAUUAGAGAAAAUAGAAGUAAGAAAGAUUUUCUAGAUAAAUGCAUCUACUCUUUAUCUUGUUCCCAACAAUUUUUCUUUGAGAUUGGUAAAAUUUGUUAUAAAUAAAGAAUUUUCCUAGCAUUUGCAUAGAAGAAAAAAAAAAAAAAAAGCCAUUCUAGUAGACAAAGAAACUAAAUAGUGGUUUUAGAGAGUCAAACCAAAAAUAAACAAGUCCAAGCUUUUGUUGGGCAAGUAUUCAUAGAUCAACAUCCUUUCUCUGCCAUGAAUGCAACAUCCAAGAAGCUUUACAAGAUUUCGAUGUUGAAGUUUUGCAAUGGAUUCAGCUUCAUUUUUUAACUCUUCUAAUCCUUGUCUAGAAGUUUUUAACAUCAUCUUCACUGCUAUUUCUUGUCCCUCUUGCAAUAUUCCCUAAAAACAACACAUUGUUUUUAUUUUGAAAGCUUUGCAAAUUAAAUGAAACUUAUCAAUAUUCAAAAUGAGUAGCCCUAAACAAACUAGUGACACAAAAAUGUUGGCACAUAUAUUGGCUUCAAGACAUUAAGGCAUAUAUCUUAAUGUGGCUUCAUUUAGAUACUAUGACAAUUGGGGACAAUGACAACUUCUCAAUAUGCUUAGAUGUGUGUUUUUAACUUGUAAGUUGUUGCAGGGCAUACCCUUACCUUGUAGACAGGCCCAAAACCACCCUCUCCAAGCUUAUUGUCACUAGAAAAGUUAUUGGUGGCAUUCAAUAAUGUAUCCAAGUCAAAUAAUGGUAUCUCUAGGUGCUCCUGACCUUCAUUGGUUUCAUCUCCCUCAAUAUUGUGUUCCAUGUAUCCUACAAAAUGGAGAAUGGAAUGAAGGAUUAAAGAAUGCAUAAAUCCUAUAUACAGAAAUCAUGAACUUGACCCAUCUCCAUGCCUAGAUCAUUUCAUCAUUUAUCAAAUCAAGCCAUGUAAAUCCCUUGCUCCUUUUUUGAGUAAUACAUAAUCAGACAACGUGUGGAAGUACUUCUGACUAAUGCACUUAGUGAUACAAGCACUAUGAUUUGUUACUUGCCUCUUCUCUUUAGCCGCCUCUUCCUCUUCUUUAGCACACACAGGGUUAAGACCAGACUUAAAAGAACUACUCCUGUGAUUGAUAUAGAGAUGGCAAUGGCUUGCUUUUUCUUCUUCUUGGAGCUGCUAUUUAGGCUUGACAAAGCAUCUUAACACAAAUGGAAAGAAAUUAAGUAGAAAAGCCAGUAAAUAAAAUAGAAAAACUAUAAAUUCCUAUAAGUAGUAACCACUAUUCCAAAAUAUAUUUUUAGUUUGCAACCAUGAAAGUAGAGUUCAAGGAACUGUAGUUGCCAUAGGAUUUGAGGGCACAAAUCAGUUGGUGUAUUGGUGUGUUAUAGCAUCUAGCUUACUAUAAUUGAAAUCUAAAAGAAAAAUAUUCCAACUUUUGAGUAGACCUCUGCUUUGCACUCUAGUCUUCAGAAAAUAAGUAUACUAUUCCAUGGAAGAAUGUGCUUGGCAGUUGGUCUUAGAUUUUUCACACCAGCAAUAAUUGAGACAGAGGUAAAGCGUUAAGUCACAAAAUCAAGGAUAAAACUAGAGGCACGUGUGCACGGUGAACAACUGAUUCAAAACCUUUGAAUAAAUAUACCAUGAAAUUUGUAUCAGAUUUAUGUUUCUUAGGCAACAAAAAGAAAAGUUUAUACCUGAUUCUGAUGCAGCCAUCCUUGCAUAAAACUCUUGCCCAUUUUGAGUGAAGUCUCUGAUGUCAAUCAAGUCAUCAAACCAGAGCAAGCAUCCACUUCCUCCUCCUCUGAUAUCUGAAUUUGCAUAAGCAGUGCAAGAGCAGUUCCUCAAGCACAGGGAAGCACAUUCCUUAAGGUUCAUGCUUUCAUCAAACCAGGAGUUCCGCGUGUCUGGCAGUUUCACACCAGAGUACUUUACAAAUCCAUCACCCUUUUGACAAUCCAGUGGAGUACUUCGAACGCAUCCCUUUGACCAGUCUGCCAUGUCCCAAUUGCUUUGGAACUUUGGCCUAAAUCCCUUCAUACACUCACAUUUUGGAGAUUCAUCAAUCUUACAGAUUCCAUAUACUCCACAUAUUGCAUAAUUGUCACAGUCAUCCUUCUGUGUGGUUGAGUAAAGAGUCCAUUCAUUUUUUUGAUCAGUCCAUGUGAAUCUUCGUGAAUAACCAUCAGGAGUUAACACAAGCCUCAUAAUAACUGAGCUGUUAACAAGAGAAUAAAUAAAAUAUAUCUCCUUUUCAUUAGAAACAAAAUUAAAUGUAUAAACUGAGUUGUUUGUUAAUUGAGGUAUUCCACUAUAUCGAACACCAUUCCAUGGUCCAGCACGAAACUCUACAGCUAAACCAUUCCUCAAUAAUAGUUGUGGAAAUCCACUUAGAUCAAUCCCAUAAGUAAAAUUACCUUUAGAAGGGUCAUCAUCACUCUUCCACGAUGACAGGUAUCGAUCCAGGCCUGUUACUCUGUUCCUUCCAAACUUCAUGCCUGGUAGAAGCGUAUCGCAUGGAUAAUCAAAACUCUGCCAGAAGAAGUUUUCUGAGUCACUAUCAUUGCCACUUCUCAUAACAAGAUUUCCAGAUUCCAAAAGCUGAGCAUUUGGAUCCUCUGCAAAACGUGAUGAAUUAGAAUUCCAAAGAAUUCCAUUAGUACCGUUGACCAGAACAAGAAUUCCCUGCUCAGUGACCUUUAAAACUCCCGAUGAAUCAGUUAGUGGACUUUCUCUAUUGGCAACCCAUACCACUGUCCCAGUAGCCACUUUCUUGUACCAUAUCCCCAAGUAUCGAUUCUUGGAAUUUCCUGGACUGAAGAAACCCAGUUCAAAGCUCCCACCCGCUGAAGUGAUGGUCUCACCAUCUGUAAUGUUUUGAUUUACAAUUAUGGUGUCUACUGCCACGGAGAUUCUUAAGAGGGAUAAUACAUAGGAGAAGAUAACUGCAACUGUUGUAAGAGAAUCCAUAGUUGUUCCUAGAUAGAAAAUGCCUGAGAUUUUAGGUGCUUUCCAAGUCUCCUUAUAUUUUUCUUUCCCCAUGUUAGAUUUUGCAUAGGUUGCUUCAUAUAUCAAAGUCAAUGUAACUCUCCAUCGUUAGCCAUAACUCCGGAAAUCUAUUCAUGUCAUUGUUUUUAUUGGCAUUCAAUGGUGGGGUCCGUUGAGUUAAAUAUAUGAAUGAUUUGUAUGACUUAGAGAAGAACAUCUCACCCACAUCCCCAUCCACAUUUAAUUUUCCAUACCUCUUAAAGUGGACUAGGAAUUAGUUUAUACAACAAGUUGAAGUAAGGACCAAUAACAGAAUGACUGUUGUAGCAACCCUCUUUCCUAGUCAAAGUUUACAGGUCAUUUACAACUCACAUACAGAGAACAUUCAUGUGGUCCAGUUUCUAAUUAAACUUCAAAUACUGAGUAGCUUUCACGACUUGUUAAAUAUUUGGAUUCUCUAGUUUCCUUUUUUUUUUUUUCCCAACUUUGGAACGAUGCCCACGUGACUUGUUGCCAGCUCUUGACUCAAAUUUAUAUGGGUGUAUAGACUUGUUUACACCUUAGAUAUUGAAAUGAAGCUUUGAGCGAAGUCAUCACAGUUGGCUGGACCUGCAUGGAAGUUGGUUAUGCUCCUCCGGGUAUAAAAAUUUAGAAGAGGACUACUUUGUUCUCUCACAAGUCCCAAGGCUCCUUGAGCUUCAAUGACUUGUUGUAGUGAUUUGAUGAGAGCAUCUCUAUCUCUGGGAUGGCUGACACCGAUCCUCUCAAUCAACAAAUAGCUCAUACAUUGUGACGAGGAAAGAAUGAUCUCAAUCAAUUAACAACUUACACAUUGAUCAUAAUUAGAGAAUCAUAACUCCUUUUCGCUAAAGGACUUAGGAGCUUUGCAUUAUUUUCUUGGAAUUAAAGUGUUUUGGGAUUCCAUAGGACUUUAUCUAACUUGGUCCAAAUAUAUACUUGACUUGUUAAAAUGAACUAACAUAGAACCAGCCAAAAGUUGCCCUACACUAGCAAUUAUGGGCUUACAGCUAUCCAUUUCUAGUGCACCUAACUUGAACAAUGAGAAGUUGCAUCACAACACUGUAGGGGCAUUACAAUAUCUCAUGAUUACUUGACUAAAAUAUCAUACAUUAUAAACAAAUCAAGUCAGUUUUUACAUUUUCCAACUGAUAUGCGUCAGAAAGUUUGUAAAUGAGUCUUGAGAUACUUGCAUGGGAGUAUUGAUCAUGGCCUACACAUUCAAUCAGCUUCUGCAUUUAGUCUCACUAGCUUCUUAGAUGCUGAUUGGGUCAGAUGUGUUGACGAUCCAAGGUCUGUUAAUGGCUUCUAUGUUUUUCUUGGUCCUAACAUUGUCUCAUGGAGUUCACGUAAGCAAAAGUUAGUUGCAAGGUCCAACACUGAGUCUUGAUUCAAAGCAUUGGCUCACACAGCAGCAGAGGUGACCUGGUUGCAAGCCUUAAAAGAUCUACAAGUCCUUAAUUCUUCAUGUCCUGUAAUCUGGUGUGAAAACAUUAGGGUAGCUUGCAUUACUGCAAAACUGGUUACACAUGCUCGCACCAAACAAAUGGAAGUAGAUGUCCAUUUUGUACGUGACAAAGUGCCGCAGAAGGAGUUAGACAUUCGGUAUGUACCUACAAAAGAUCGGGUAGCUGAUAUACUAACAAAGCCCUUAUCUAUAUCCCAGUUCAACAUCCUUAAGGUCGAGCUCAAUGUGAAGGUGUCCCCAUUUCACUUGAGGUGGCAUGUUUGACAGAAUGUUGCAGUUACAAAAUUAGUUUCAGAGUUAAUUGAGUUUAGCUUUAACAGUUCCACAGUUGAGGUUAGAUUUAGAAUUAGAUAAAAGAAAGAAUCAGUUAGUCUCCAACCAACUUGUAAUCUUCUCUAUAGAAAGGAAAAGAGAGAAAGAAAAAAAAGAGGUCAGUUGUAUUUCUCGCAUGCCGUGAUUUUAUCUCCUAUGUUCUCCUCUGUUUUUCAGUCUCAACAUCUUAUCUCCUAUGCAAGGUCCAACACUCGGCCAAGAUUCAAGAGGCAUGUUCAUGCACACAUUAUGCCAUAUAUUAAACUGUAAUUGAAAGCUAAAACAACAAACAUGUUGAAAUUUUAUGUGGACCGGUGCUAAACUUCAGGUUAUUGGUGCUUUAUAUAAAAGAAACUGUUUUCCUCCUUGAAGUUUUGUGUCAAAUUUACUUUUCUUCUGUUAGGAACAGAUAAGUUCAUACCUAAUUCUGAUGCAGCCAUUCUUAAAUAAAGCACUUGUCCAUUUUCAGCUAUAUCUACCAAAUCGAAUCACUAAACCAGGCAAAGCAUCCACUUCCUCAUUUAUAUGUGAAUUAGCAACGCCCUUGAGGUUCAUACUUUGAUUAAACCAUGAGCUCUACCUGUCUGGGAGUUUCAUACCUGAUAACUUUACAACUUGUCACUCAUCUAAUGAAUUAGCCGAGUGGGAAUUACACCAGUCUCCAUAGACACUUUCCUGUAUCAUAUCCCUAAGCCUGAAUUUGUGGAGUUAUCUGGGCUGAAAAGCCCUAGUUCAAAGCCACAAACAACUCCAAUGAUUACCUCACAUCUACUGUUGACGUACAUAGGAUAAGAAAAUUGUGGUUGGUUGGCCAUGACCAAUCAAUCUUUUUCCGUGGAUAUAUAUUAUUCUAGCAUUAAGUGGCAUAUAUUCCCUUCAAAUAAAUAACAAAAUCAAUCCCAAUUUGCAGCUAGAAUCUACUUAAUUAACCUCUUGUUCUUGAUGCUAAAGUGUUAAAAGGUCAUAUUUUUCUUUUUAAUUUUUUUACUUGAUUCUGACAUGUUAAAAUAGUAAUCUUAUUAACUUAUUUAAGAGAGAAACCCCUUUUUUAGCAGAUAUCAAAUAUCAACAAAAGACCAAAAACAGAGUCAAGGUUUCUCUACAAGAUGCAAGUAAUUAGUAUUUUUUAUAAGAAUAGCUUUUUUUAUAUGGUCAACUUCUAUCAUUGAACUUACAUACCAUGAAUAACUAUCAUAAUCGAUACAAAAAGAUAGCAGCAAAGACUGAUCACCAGAUAACAUCUUAGAUGAGUCUUUUGUUAGAAGCUAAGCAGUAUGAUUGCGAAAAAGUUGCCAAAUGUAGUUGAAACUUAAGCUUAUAUUGUCAUAGGUCUAACGACAACAAAACAUCAACAUGAAGCAUCUUCUAUCGAGCUUCCAACAAUGUGAUGGUGGGUUGAAUACCAGAGAAAGAAUUUGCAUCCAUCAUAUUCCUAUCAGUGAAGAAACAAGGCUCUUUGGGCCGAGGUAGUGCCCCCUCACUACCCAACAUCAAAAUCACAGAGUGCAUGCUUGGUCGAUCAUCCGGGAAACGUUGUAUGCAUAAUAGGCCCACGUUGAUUGAACGUAGCACUUCAAAUAGAUUGCAGGUGUUCACUUUUGAUGUAUCAAUAAAUUCUAAAGACCCACCUUCUAUAUAGAGUGUCCAUGCCUAGAGAAUUGAAAAGAGGAUCAGCACUGCCUUUAUAUAGUGAAAUAAGGAAAUAAGAAAAUAUUACCCAAUACUUACAUGCCCAAGAAGAUUAAGGUCAUGGCCUGGGUGGCUAAAUCCUCUGUUUCUCUUCCCACUUACAAUCUUUAGCAACAAAACACCAAAGCUAAAAACAUCGGAUUUUGUGGAAUACAAUCCUUCACUUGCAUACUCUGGAGACAUAUAACCUCUGUAGGAAACCGUUGAAGAAAGGGUUAAAUUCACAAGCAAUGGAGAUAAAGACUUUAUACAUAUCACUAAAUAUACUUACAAUGUUCCAGCCACUCUUGUUGUGUUUGCUUCAAUUUCAUUUCCUCCAAAACUUCUUGCUAUUCCGAAGUCUGAAAUUUUGGGGCUCAUUUCAUUAUCUAGUAAAAUGUUUUCUGCUUUGAGAUCUCUAUGGAUUAUCCUGAGUCUAGAAUCUUGAUGAAGAUAAAGAAGGCCUCGAGCAAUCCCAUUGAUAAUGAGGAAGCGCUUAGGCCAAUCUAGUACCCUGCUUCGCAUGUGAUCUAUCCAUUUUUUUUAUCAUUCAAGUUAACCCAUUCUACUACUUGGAUUAUUGAAAAUAAAUGGAAAACAUUUCAAGAAACAAAUGAUUACAAAUUUCAAGAGAGUUGUUCAAAGCAAACAUUGUCAAAGAUUGAAAAACAUUGUCAAAGAGACACAAAUAGAUAAUGGAUCUUAAUGGUAGGGUUCCAAACCCCUAACAUUUUUAAAAAAUGUUAGAGAAAAUAGAAAUAUGAAAAAUUUUCUAAAUAAAUGCAUCUAUGCUUUAUCUUGUCCUUGAGGAUUUUUCUUUGAAAUUUGUCAAAUCCAUGGUAAAUAAAGAAUUUCCCUAGCAUGUAUAGGAGAAGAGAGAGAAAAGAGAAGCUACUCAAUUAGACAAAGAAACUAUAUAGUGGUUUUAGAGAGCCGAACCAAAAAUGUACAAGUCCAAGCUUUUGUUGGGCAUGUAUUCAUAAAUCAACAAUCUUUCUCUGCCAUGAAUGCAACAUCCAAGAAGCUUUACAAGAUUUCGGUGCUGAAGUUUUGUAAUGGAUUCAACUUCAUUUUUGAACUCUUUUAAUCCUUGUCUAGAAGUUUUUGACAUCAUCUUUACUGCUAUUUCUUGUCCUUCUUGCAAUAUUCCCUGAAAACAUCAUAUUCUUUUUAUUCUGAAAGCUUUUCAAAUUAAAAGAAACUUGUCCAUAUUCAAUAUGAAGAGUCCUAAAGAAACCAGAGACACAAAAAUGUUGGCACAUACACCGACUUCAAAACUUUAAGGAGUAUAGUGGCCUUGAUACAUGUUGUUUCAUUUAGAUACUAUGAAGAUUGGGGACAUCAACUACUUCUCAAGAUGCUUAGCUAUGUAUCUAUAAUGUUUUAUUAACUUGUAACUUGUCUUAUCCAAAAGGCAAAGUAUAACCCUACCUUAUAGACAGGUUCAAAACCACCCUCUCCAAGUUUAUUGUCUCUAGAAAAGUUAUUGGUGGCAUUCAAUAAUGUAUCCAAGUCAAAUAAUGGUAAAUCUAGAUGCUCUUGGCCUUUAUUGUUUUCACCUUCUUUUGAUUUAUGAUCCAUGUAUUCUGCAGAAUGGAGAAUAAAAUGAAGGAUUAAAGAAUUCAUCAACCUGGAAUUUAGCCCAUUUCCAAGCCUAGAUCAUUUCAUUGUUUCUAAAAUCAAGCCAGGUCAAUCUAUUGCUCCCCUUUUUUAUUUAUUAUUACAUAAUCAAACAACGUGUAGAAGUACUUUUGACUAAUACAUAUGGUGAUACAAGCACUAUGAUUUGUUACUUACCUUUUUUCUUUAGCUGCUUCUUCCUCUUCUUGAGCACAUACAAGAUCAGGACUGGACUUAAAAAAACUAUUCCUGUAAUUGAUAUAGAGAUGACAAUGACCUGCUUUUUCUUCUUCUUGGAGCUACUAUUUAUGCUUGAAGAAGCUUCUUGACACAAAAGGAAAGAAAUUAAGAAGGAGAGCUAAGAAAUAAAUUAGAAAAACUAUAAAUUCCUAUGAACAGUAACUGUUGAUCUAAAAUAUAUUUGUAGUUUACAGCCAUGAAGGUAGAAGUUCAAGGAACUGCAAUUGCCAUAGGAUUUGAUAGCACAAAUCAGUUGGUGUAUUGGUGUGUUAUAGCAUCUAUCUUAAUACAAUUGAAAUCUAAAAGAAAAAUAUUCCAACUUUUGAGUAGACCUCUACUUUGCACUCUAGUCUUUAGAAAAUACGUAUACUAUUCCAUGAAAUAAUGUGCUUGGCAUUUGGUAUCAGAUUUUUCACAUCAGCAAUAAUUGAGAUGGAGGUAAAUUAAGAUUUAAGUUGCAAAAUCAUGGGAUUGAACUAGAGGCACAUAUGCAAGGUGAACAACUGAUUCAAAACUUUUGAGUAAAUAUACCAUGAAAUUUGUAUGAGAUUUAAGUUUCCCAAGUAUGAAAAAGAAAUGUUUAUACCUGAUUCUGAUGCAGCCAUCCUUGCAUAAAACUCUUGCCCAUUUUGAGUGAAGUCUCUGAUGUCAAUCAAGUCAUCAAACCAGAGCAAGCAUCCACUUCCUCCUCCUCUGAUAUCUGAAUUUGCAUAAGCAGUGCAAGAGCAGUUCCUCAAGCACAAGGAAGCACAUUCCUUAAGGUUCAUGCUUUCAUCAAACCAGGAGUUCCGCGUGUCUGGCAGUUUCACACCAGAGUACUUUACAAAUCCAUCACCCUUUUGACAAUCCAGCGGAGUACUUCGAACGCAUCCCUUUGACCAGUCUGCCAUGUCCCAAUUGCUUUGGAACUUUGGCCUAAAUCCCUUCAUACACUCACAUUUUGGAGAUUCAUCAAUCUUACAGAUUCCAUAUACUCCACAUAUUGCAUAAUUGUCACAGUCAUCCUUCUGUGUGGUUGAGUAAAGAGUCCAUUCAUUUUUUUGAUCAGUCCAUGUGAAUCUUCGUGAAUAACCAUCAGGAGUUAACACAAGCCUCAAAAUAACAGAGCUGCUAACUAGAGAAUAAAUAAAAUAUAUCUCCUUUUCAUUAGAAACAAAAUUAAAUGUAUAAACUGAGUUGUUUGUUAAUUGAGGUAUUCCACUAUAUCGAACACCAUUCCAUGGUCCUGCACGAAACUCUACAGCUAAACCAUUCCUCAAUAAUUGUUGUGGAAAUCCACUUAGAUCAAUCCCAUAAGUAAAAUUACCUUUAGAAGGGUCAUCAGCACUCGUCCAUGAUGACAGGUACCGAUCCAUGCCCAUUACUCUGUUCCUUCCAAACUUCAUGCCUGGUAGAAGAGUAUCGCAUGGAUAAUCAAAACUCUGCCAUAGGAAGUUUUCUGGGUCACUAUCAUAGCCAUUUCUCAUAACAAGAUUUCCAGAUUCCAAAAGCUGAGCGUUUGGAUCCUGCGCAGAACGUGAUGAAUUAGAAUUCCAAAGAAUUCCAUUAGUACCGCUGACCACAACAAGAAUUCCCUGCUGAGUGACCUUUAAAACACCUGAUGAAUCAGUUAGUGGACUUUCUCUAUUGGCAACCCAUACCACCGUCUGAGGAGCCACUUUCUUGUACCAUAUCCCCAAGUAUCGAUUCUUGGAAUCACCUGGACUGAAGAAACCCAAUUGAAAGGUCCCACCCGCUGAAUUGAUGGUCUCGCCAUCUCUAAUGUGUUGAUUUACAUUUAUGGUGUCUACUGUAGUGGAGAUUCUUAAGAGGGAGAAUACAUAGUAUUAAAAUUGAUUAAUGUGAAAACUUGCCUUGUUGAACAAAGAAAUAUGCAGAGUUUGUUAGGUUGUUACAAGUUAGUGGAAUUUUUUUAUUUUGUUAUUUUUCAUUUUCUGGAUGAGCUGGAAUCUUCUCGAUUGUUCCAAGCCUUCCUAUAUAUGUUGCUACUGUACAAUCAGUGAAGAGGGGAAUCAAUGAAUUAGUUUUAUUUCUCUCUCAGGCCUUUGUUUGCCUUUCUUGCCAUUUACCUUUUGUUUUUCUAUUAUGGUAUCAGAGCGUAUUCCUUCCGUUUUUCCUUCCUUCUGAGCAUGGCUAAGGGCAAACCUCCUCAGCAUCCUUUUCAGUCUCCCAUGGAAGAUCAUAGUAGUCCCUAUUUUCUUCACAAUGGUGAUCAUCCAAGUCUCUCUCUGGUUUCUCUUUCACUUGCUGGAUUUGGUUCAAACUAUCAUUCUUGGCGCCGAUCAAUGGUUAUAGCUUUAAAUGCUAAGAACAAACUUGGGUUUAUCGAUGGAACCAUCUCACGUCCUGCUGCAACAGAUCUCCUUGCUGGUCCUUGGUCUCGCUGCAACAACAUGGUCAUAUCUUGGCUCUCUAACUCGGUUUGCAAAGAAAUUGCAGAGAGCAUCCUCUAUCAUGAAACAACCAUCGAAAUAUGGAAUGAUCUAUACGAACGAUUUCAUUAGGGCAGUGGUCCUCAAAUUUUUGAACUCAAGCAAAAAAUUAUUGCUCACACUCAGGGAUCGGCUGAUGUCAAUACCUACUAUACUCGACUGAAAUCCUUGUGGGAUGAGCUUCAAGAAUUCAAGGCGAUACUAGUUUGCAAUUGCGGUGGCAUGCGUGUUUAUAUGGAGGAUCAACAACGAGAAUCUGUGAUGCAAUUUCUGCUGGGUUUGAACGAAUCCUUCGCUCCGAUUUGAGCUCAAAUCCUGUUGAUGGAACCGACUCCUCCGCUGAACAAAGUUUUCUCCCUGGUUGUUCAAGAAGAACGACAACGAUCUCUUACCACCUCCAACUCUCCGGCAUUCACUGCUCCUGUUUCCUCCAGAUUUCAAGCGGCAUCUAGAGCUUUUUCUCCUACUAAUGCCUCUCGAUCAAGAAAGGAUCGCCCACUCUGUACCCAUUGCAACAUCUUGGGUCACACAGUUGAUCGGUGCUACAAAAUACAUGGGUAUCCACCUGGAUUCAGAAAUAGGCCCAACUUCAAGCCCAAUGGUUCUCGCCCAAAUCAAAUGCUACCCAAUAGUCUUCACACGAAUCAGUUGACUCUCACAGAUGGCUCCACCGCCUCUGCAUCUCCACCACCUCUCACUCAUGACCAACACAAUCAGUUAUUAGCUCUCUUAAGUUUGCACAGCUCGAGUGGCUCCUCUGCCUCAUUCGGUGACAGCAACCCUCUUCAGCAAUCCAUUUCCAACUUCACUGGUAUCCUUUCUCUUUCUCCUUCAUCAUCCACUCUCAACCCUAGCAUUUGGAUUUUAGAUUCAAGGGCAACCCACCAUGUUUGCACUAAUUCCUCCAUGUUUCACUCUAUUCAUUCAUUUUCUUCCAACACUGUCACUUUACCCACUGGUAUAAAAAUAUCAAUCACCGGAAUAGGCACCAUUCAUCUGUCACCUCAUCUCGUGCUUGAACAUGUUCUCUACAUUCCAACAUUAAAAUUUAAUCUUAUCUCCAUUAGUGCCUUAACUCAAACCAAUUGUUUUUCCUUUGAUUUUACUGCUCGUUUUUGCUUCAUUCAAGACCACUCACAGGGGAAGCUGAUUGGGAUGGGUAGACGUCAAGGCAACAUUUACCUCUUAGAUAGCUCAGUCUUUCGUUCUAUUUCCUCUGUAUUCGUUGUUGAUAACAACACUUCUGCUCAUGUAAACAAAUUGUGGCAUUUCAGAUUAGGCCACCCAUCCAAUGUCAAACUCAGUGUAUUGAAACCUCAUUUACAGUUGCAAAGUAAUGGCAAUACCAAUCUUUCUUGUUCAAUUUGCCCUCUGGCAAAACAAAAACGUUUGCCAUUUGAUUGUCAUAAUAAUUUAUCUCCUUCUCCAUUUGAUCUCAUACACUGUGAUAUUUGGGGUCCAUUUCAUAUUCCCACACAUGAUGAAUUUCGUUAUUUUUUGACAAUCGUUGAUGAUUGUACAAAGAAUACAUGGGUUCAUCUUCUACGUGCUAAAUCUGAUGUCAAGACCAUUUUUCCAUAAUUUUUCUCCAUGGUUAAAACCCAGUUUGGUCUCACCAUUAAAGCAGUUCGCAGUGACAAUGCCCCUGAAUUAAACCUCUCCAAUCUCUUUACCCAACUUGGUGUGCUCCAUUUUUUCUCUUGUGUUGAAACUCCUCAACAAAACUCGGUUGUUGAGCGUAAACACCAACACAUCCUAAACGUAGCUCGGGCCUUAUAUUUCCAAUCCAACAUACCUAUAGGAUAUUGGGGGGAUUGUGUGCUUACUUCGGUUUACCUUAUAAAUCGAAUUCCAUCACCAUUACUGAACAACAAAACUCCUUUUGAACUACAUCAUAAAUCACCAUCUUACUCCCAUCUCAAAUCUUUCAGAUGUCUUUGUUAUAGUUCAACUCUUCCUCGAGCCUUACCUUGUGUCUUUUUAGGAUAUCCUUUUGGUUACAAAGGUUACAAAAUUCUAGACUUAGAGACCAACCAAAUAUCUGUCUCCCGAAAUGUUAUCUUCCAAGAAUCUGUGUUUCCUUUCAAGUUAUCUCAGAAUAAUAACUCUGUUGCUUCAGAUUUCUUUUCUGAAAAGGUGCUGCCUAUUGUACCAGUUUCUACCCCUUCCCCUUCUUUUAAUAAUUCGACUUCACAUCCUAACAGCCCUGACUCUUCCUCCAAUGACACUUCACCUCAUACCACCUCCCACACAACCACCAGAUCUUCUAGAGUAUCCCAACCACCCAAAUAUCUCUCUGAUUAUCACUGUUAUUUAGCUUCUUCUACUCGUCAUUUCGAUAUAUCCAACUCCACUCCUUACCCCUUAUUCGAUGUCAUCUCCUACAAUAAACUUUCCCCUUCUUUUCGUGCAUUUUCUAUUUCCAUUUCCACCAUCAUAGAACCCAAAACAACAUAUGCUGAGGCAGUCGUUGUACCCGAGUGGCAGCAUGCUAUGUGAGCUGAACUGCAAGCUUUAGAGUCCAAUAAUACCUGGUCUUUGUGCACUCUACCCCCUGGAAAAACAACAGUUGGUUGCAAAUGGCUUUAUCGUGUUAAAUAUCAUGCUAAUGGUUUUAUUGAAAGGUACAAAGCACGACUUGUUGCCAAAGGGUUCACACAGCAAGAAGGUGUUGAUUUUUUUUAUACUUUUUCACCUAUUGCCAAGAUGGUUACUGUCAAGGUAUUACUCUCUCUUGCUUCUAUUUACAAUUGGCAUUUGACUCACCUUGAUGUCAAUAAUGCAUUUUUGCACGGUGAUCUAUCUGAAGAAGUUUUCAUGCAUCUUCCUCCUGGUUAUCACCGUGAGGGGGAGCCUUUAUUACCUUCCAACACAAUUUGUAAGUUACACAAAUCCAUCUAUGGCUUGAGACAAGCAUUUAGGCAGUGGUUUGAAAAAUUCUCUAGUGUUCUAAUCUCUAAAGGCUUUCAGCAAUCUCAUUCAGAUUAUUCUCUAUUUAUCAAGACAGCAGGAAAUGAUUUUAUUGCUUUGUUAGUGUAUGUUGAUGACAUAAUAGUUGCUAGUAACAACAAGAUUGCUGCUGAUAAUUUGAAGAAUUCUCUCAACAAAAGCUUUAAAUGAAAGGAUCUAGGAAAUCUCAAGUAUUUUCUUGGACUUGAAGUAGCUAAAUCAGCUAAAGGGAUCCUGGUAAACCAGAGAAAAUAUGCUCUGGAACUCCUAUCUGAAACAGGCUACUUAGGUUGCAAACGUGCCAAAACUCCAACGCAACCAAAUAUGCAACUUUCUCAAGAUGAUGGAGAGCUGCUAACAGAUCCCAGCAUGUAAAGAAGGCUCAUAGGGAAGCUUAUAUACCUUACUAUCACCAGGCCAGACCUAACUUACUCGGUGAACAAGUUGAGCCAAUUCCUAAGUCAACCGAGGAGACCACAUUUGCAAGUAGUCUACAGGAUUCUUCAAUAUAUCAAAGGAUCACCAGGCAAAGGUAUUUUCUUCUCAACUUCCUCAUCUCUUCAAUUAAAGGCCUUCUCAGAUUCUGAUUAGGUAGCAUGCCCAGAUUCUAGAAAAUCAAUCACUGGAUUUUGUAUAUUUCUUGGAGAUUCUUUGAUAUCAUGGAAAUCAAAAAAGCAAAGGACAGUUUCAAGAUCCUCAGCUGAAGCAGAGUAUCGAGCAAUGGCUCAUGUGACUUGUGAGCUAACAUGGUUGAUUGCCUUACUCAAGGACUUAGGAGUUUCACACACACAACCUGCUUUGUUGUACUGUGACAACCAAGCUGCUCUACACAUUGUUGCAAACCCGGUCUUCCAUGAGCGUACUAAACACAUAGAGAUAGAUUGUCAUAUUGUAAGAGAGAAGAUUCAAACAGGUAUGCUCAAAACUCUACAUGUUGCUUCACAACAUCAAUUGGCUGAUAUACUUACCAAUCCUCUCUUUCCUGAUCAAUUCAAUUCUCUCAUAGACAAGAUGGGAAUGUAUAACAUAUACAUUCCAUCUUGAGGGGGAGUAUUAAAAUUGAUUACUGUGAAAACUUGCCUUCCUUGUUGAACAAGAAAUAUGCAAAGUUUGUUAGGUUGUUACAAGUUAGUGGAAUUUUUUUAUUUUGUUAUUUUUCAUUUUCUGGAUGAGCUAGACUCUUCUCGAUUGUUCCAAGCCUUCCUAUAUAUGUUGCUACUGUACAAUCAGUGAAGAAGGGAAUCAAUGAAUUAGUUUUAUUUCUCUCUCAGGCCUUUGUUUGCCUUUCUUGCCAUUUACCUUUUGUUUUUCUAUUACAUAGGAGAAGAUGAACACAACUGUUGCAAGAGCAUCCAUAGUUGUUCCCAGAUAAAAAAAUGCCCAAGAUUUUAGGUGCUUUUCAAGUCCCCUUAUAUUUUCCCUCGCCCCCUAGGAUAUGGCAUUGUGUUUGACUUGUAUGACUUGGAGAAGAACAUCACCUCCAUUGUUCAUCAUUGGAGGUCCUUCAUCCAAAUUAGAUUUUUCUAUACCUCUUAAAAUUGAGUAGCUAUUAAUUUAUCCCUUACAAUAGUUUAUGAAUGAUCUCAUCUUUUCUUUAGAAGAAUUACAAGUUGAAGUAAAGAAGACCAAGAACAGAGUGUUGGAAUUUUGACAAGUAUACAAUAGUUUAAAAAAGAAUGAUUCAUAAACUAACAUAGUGGAAAAAAUAUUUUUAAAUCUACCGUUUUUGCUAAGUGGGAAAAAGAAAUUAAAUUUAAAGUAAAAAUAGUCUCUUAUGGGCAAAAAUGUCUUUUGAAGAGAUGAAUUUUAAAAAUUCUUUAAAAAACAAAAUUUAUAGGCUAAGAUCGUCUCUCGAAUAAAAGAUUUCUUUUUAUUAUUUUUUUAGAAAAGUUCUAGACAAAAAUCCUUUAUGCAAAAAAUGUGUUUUGAGGAGAUGAGUUUUAAAAAUUCUUUAAAAAACAAAAUUUGUAGGCUAAAUUGGUCUCUUGAAUAAAAGAUUUCUUUUUAUUAUUAUUUUUUUAAAAAGUCUAAAAUUGUCUAUUGAAGACACGAUUUCAUAAAUAAUAAAAAAAUAAUAAAAAAACAAAAGAAAAAGAAAGAAAUAAAAGGAGUUCUUAUUUUUAAUAAUAUUUUAAUUAAUAAUAUAUUUUAAUAAUAAAAUUAAUAUAAAUAUAUGCAUUGUAAUAUUAAUUAAUUUAAGUUUAUUAUAUUUGAUAUAUUAUUUAUAAUUAUAAUAUUUAUAAAAGUAUAAAUUAUAUUUAGCAUCUACUAUUAAAAAAAUACUAUUUUAUGUUGAGUUAAAUAUCGAUAACAAAAAUAUUUUGAUCUUUAUCACCAAUUUUAUUUCUAAAUUAAUUUAAUGAAUUGUAACUAUAAAUAGAAAUUAGUUUUAUUUUAUUUUAUUUUUUAUUUAUAAUAUAAAUAAUACAUAUUUUAAAUUUUGAAACUUUAUCUACUACUUUCUUGUUCCUUUUAAAUUUCAUAUUAAAACAAAUCUAUUAUCAAUUUUAUUUUAUUUGAGUUUAUAAAAAAUAAUUUUAUUACCUAUUUAUUUUUUUAGUUUAUUAAAUAUAUAUAUAUAUAUAUAUAUAUAUAUAUAUUUACAAAAUGAAUAAUUUUUUAUUUUUAAAUUAAUUUUAUUAGAUAAAAUUUAAAAAUAAAAAUAUUAUUCCUUAAUUUAAAAUUUAACGGUAAAAAAAUAGAGAAAAAUAAAUUAUUUUUAAAUUGAUUAAUACUCAAAAAAUUAUUUGUUUCAUUUUAAAUUGAUUAAUAUUCAAAAAAUUAUAUCUCUUAAAGUUGACAUUUUUAUUCAAAAUUAAUUUGUUGAAUAAUAAAUUGGUUUAUUUUUCUAUAUUUUAUUUCUUUUACUAUUAAAUUUUAAAUUUAAAAAAAAUUAUUUUAAAGCUUAUCUAAUAAAAUUAAUUUCAAAAUUAAAACGAAAAAAAAAAAUCAUUCAUUUUGUAAAAAAUAAAAAAUAAAAAUUACUAAACUAAAAAAGGAAAUUUAUAAUAAAUUUAUUAUUUUAUAAACUCAAUUUUCACCUCAAAUUAAUAAUAGUUUUUUUUUUCUUAAUUUGAAAGUGAAACAAACAAAAAGUAAUAGAUAAUAUCUAAAAAUUAAAAUAUUUAUUAUUUAUCUUAUAAAUAAAAAAUAAUAUAAAACUAAAUUAGUUUCUAGUUAGAGUUAUAAUUAAUAAAAUUAAUUUAAUGAUAAAAAUUGGAGAUAAAUAUAAAAAUAUUUUUUAAAUCAAUAUCUAAAUUAAUAUAAAAUAGCGUUUUUUAAACAUAAAAUGCUAAACAUAAUUUAUACUUAUAUAUAUAUAUAUAUAUUAGUAUUGAUAAAUAAUAUAUCCCAAUAAUUACAAUUAUUUUUAUAUAUUAAAUUUAAUAGAUAAAAUUAAUUAAUUCUAUAAUACAUAUAUUUAUAAUAAUUAUAUUAUUAUACAAAUGUUAUGUGUUUUAUUAUUUUUAAUGAUAUUUUUAAUUAAUAAUACAAUGCUACAUCAUUUAAAAAUAUGAGGUGAUGACCAAAAUAAUUUUUUAAUUAAUAUAAAAUUAUAAAUAUAACUUAUACUUUUAUAAAUAUUAUAAUUAUAAUAAUAUAUCAAUAAUAAUAAACAUAAAAUCAAUUAAUUUUAUAAUACAUAUAUUUAUAAUAAUUUUAUUAUUUAAAAAUAUUAUUAGUUAAAAUAUUAUUAAAAAUAAUAAAACAUGGAAAAAAAUUUAAUUUUUUGAAAUCAUUUGGAGAAGAUUUCUUCCCUUAAUUUUUUUUUUUUUUAAGAAAUCGUCUCCUGAUUUUCUAUUUUUUUAUUUCCUAUAUCCAAUAAUUUUUUUAAAAAAUAAAAAAUAAAUAAAAAUCAUCUUUUGAAGAGACUAUUUUAGUUUGAAUUUUUUGUAAAAUUUUUAAAAAAAUUUGAAAAUACUAUUUUUACUUAGAACUUAAAAAUAAUAAUAAUAAUAAGAAAUCGUGUCUAGAGACAAUUUUAGCUUAUAUAUAUUUUGAAAGAAUUUUUAGAAAUUAUCCCUUCAAGAAUUGAUUUUUGCAUAUUACAUAUAUAUAUAAAGAAAAUAAAUAUCUUUUGAAGAAAUGAUUUUUACUUCAAUUCCAAUCUCUCUUUCCUAAUUGAUAAAAACUACCAGUAUUUUUUUCAGAGUAGCUUUCAUGAGUUGUUAGGAUGUGCUAGGAAGACUUUUGAACUGACUAACUGGCCCAAAAGACACGCCUGCUGGCUAUUGUUAUUUGGAUUCUCUAAUUUUUUUUUUCCAACUUUGGAACUAUCCUCACGCGACUUGUUACCAGCUUUGGACACAAAGUCAUAUGGGCGUAUAGACUCGUGGCCACCUUAGAUAUUGAAAUCAAGCUUUGAGCAAAGUCAUCACAGUCGGUCAGAACUGCAAGGAAGUUGGUUAUGCUCCGGUAUAAAAUCAAAAAGUGGUAUAAAAAUCGAAAAGGCCAACAGAGGCCGUUUGAUUCACUCCAUCACCCUCCUCUUAGUUUGAGUGUCACGAUUCAAGUCCCCAUAAUUGGGAUCAUUUACCAUCCAAUCAAGUCAAGAGUGAAUUCACGGAGGACUACUUUGUUCUCACACGAGUACCAAGACUCCUAUAUAACCUUCAAUGACAUCUUAUAGUGAUUUGACAAGGGCAUCUCUAUCUCUGAGCGAAGUAGCUAACACCCAUCCUUAAAUCUCUUAAGAGGCAAUGGACUAUAAGGAAAGAAUUACCUUUUAUAAAAAUCCUCUCAAUCGUCCAAUAGCUCAUACAUUGAUAUAUAGAAACAGCCAUCUCAACCGAUCAACGGCUCACACACUGAUCAUAAUUAGAACAUCACAUAAUCACCUCCUUUGAUUACGACUAUAAAUUAUUCCACAAAUGUAGCAGAAGGGCUCUUGUAGCAACUCUCUUUCCUUGCCAAAGUUAAUAGGACAUGUCAUCAGUUACAACUUACAGCCACUGGUAGGAUUGAAAAUAAAAAUGCAUACAGCCGAUAUUCAGGUGGUCCAGUUUCUGAUUAGCACCAAAUACUGAGUAACUUUCACAACUUGUCAGGAUGUGCUAGGAAGACUUUUGGACUGACCAACCGGCCCAAAUGACACGCCUGCGGGCUACUGUGAUUUGGAUUCUCAUUACUUUUUCCUUUUUUUUUUCUUUCUUUUUUUUUUUUUUUUUCUUUUUUUCUCAAACUUCUGAAUUCUCUCCACGUGACUCAAAUUUAUAUGGGUGUAUAGACGUGUUUACACCUUAGAUAAUGAAAUCAAGCUUUGAGAAAAGUCACCAAAGUCAGCCGGACCUGCAUGGAAGUUGGUUAUGCUCUCCGGGUAUAAAAAUCAAAAAGGGGAUCUCCUUGAGCUUCAAUGACUUCUUGUAAUCCCUUACGGGCUAUGGAUAUAAGGAAAGAAUCAUGUCAUAAAGGGAAGAAUACUCUCAGUCAACAAAUAGCUCAUACAUUGCGAUGAGGGAAGAAUGAUCUCAAUCAAUUAACUACUCACACACUGAUCAUAAUUAGAGCAUUACAGAGCCUUUUCAGUAAACGACUUGGGAGCUUUGCAUUAUUUUCUUGGAAUUGAAGUGUUUCUCACUCAGUCCAAAUACGUACUUGACUUGUUAAAACCAAGUAAUACGGAACAAGCCAAAAGUUGCCCUACACUAGCAAUUAUGUGCCUACAGCUAUUUAGUUCUAGUGGACCUAAGUUGAACAAUGAGAAGUCGUAUCAGAACACUGUAAGGGCAUUACAAUAUCUCACAAAUACUCAAGUAGAAAUAUCUUACAUUGUAAUUAAAUUAAGUUUUUACAUUGUCCCACCGAUAUGUAUCGGAGAGGUUGUAAAUGAGUUUUGACAUACUUACAUGGGAGUAUUGAUCGUGGUCUGCACAAUCAAUCAGCUUCUGGAUUUAGUCUCACUAGCUUCUCAGAUGCUAAUUGGGCCAGUUGUGUCGAUGAACGAAGGUCCACCAAUGGCUUCUAUGUUUUUCUUGGUCCUAACAUUGUCUCAUGGAGUUCACGUAAGAAAAAGGUUGUUGCAAGGUCCAACACUGAGUUGGGAUACAAAGCAUUGGCUCAUGCGGCAAUAGAGCUAGGUGACCUGGCUAAAAGAGCUACCAAUCUAGUGUGAUAAGAUUGGGGUAGCUUGCAUUGCUGCAAACCUAGUUGGACAUGCUCGCACCAAACACAUUGGAGCAGAUGUCCAUUCUGUAUGUGACAAAGUGCUGCAGAAAGAGUGUAUGCACCUACAAAAGAUCAGGUAGCAGGUAUACUAACAAAGCCCUUGUCUGUAUCCCGGUUCAUCGUCCUUAAGGUUGAGUUCAAUGUGAAGGCGUCCCCGUUUCGCUUGAGAUGGCGUUCUGGACAGAAUGCUCCAGAACAAAUUAGUUUCAGAGUUAGUUAAGGCUAGCUUUAAAAAUUUCAUACUUAGUUGAGGUUAGUUUUAGAAUUAGAUGAAAAACAGAAUUAGUUAGGGUCUCCGACCAAUUUGUAAUCUUCUCUAUAUAAAGGAAAAGAGAGAAAGAAGAAACAGAGGUCAGUUGUGUUUCUCUCAUGCUGUGAUUAUAUCUCUAUGUUCUGCUCUGUUUUGCACUCUCAACAUCUUAUCUCCUGUGAUGAACAUCCUAACAGGCCCAGAUUCAAGAGCCAUGUUCAUGCAUGCAUUAUAUAAUAUAUUAAAUUGUAAUUGAAAGCUAAAACAACAUGUUGAAGUUUUAUGUGGAACAGUGCUAAACUUCAGAUAAUAGGUGCUUUUAUAUAAAAGAAACUGUUUUCCUCCUUGAAGUUUUGUGUCAAAUUUACUUUUCUUAUGUAAGGAACGAACAGAUAAGUUCAUACCUAAUUCUGAUGCAGCCAUUCUUAAAUAAAGCUCUUGUCCAAUUUCAGCUAUAUCUAUCAAAUCAAAUCACUAAACCAGGCAAAGCAUCCACUUCCUUGUUUAUAUCUGAAUUUGCAUAAGCAGUAUAAGAGCAGACGCUUGAGCCCCACCCAAUGCCCUUGAGGUGAAUCUCGUACCAGAUUACUUUACAACCUGUCACUCAUCUGAUAAUCUAGUGGAGUGGUCCUUUAAUUCCAUGCGCUCAAAAUUUAGAAGGCCUCAUGAUAACUGAGUUAUUAGAAAGUUCAUAUGUAGACGCAUCUUCUUUUCAUUAAAAACAGAAGCAUAUGCACAAACUGGGUUUGGUGUUAAUUGAGGAAACCCAAUAAAUUGAACAUCAUUCCAAUGUCAGAGCAAAAUGUCAUAGCUGAGCGAUUCCUUAGAAUUAGUUGUGGAAAGCCAUUAGGAUCGAGCCAAUAUAUGAAAUCACCUUUAAUAGGAACCACCGUGCUCUUCCAUGAGGAUAGGAACCAAUCCGGACCUGUCACUGUGUUUCUUCCAAAUUUCAUGCCUUGUAGAAGAGUAUUGCAGGGAUAAUCAAAACUCUGCCAAAGAAGUUCUCUGGAUCACUAUCAUCUCCAAUUUUCAUGACAAGAUUUUCAAAUUCCAAAAGCUCAAUAUGUGGACCUUCUUCAUGAAUGGAUUGCACUUGUGAAUGGAUAGAGUUCCCUGGUCCAUGACCUUUAAAAUUCCCGUUGAAUUAGCUGAUUGGGAACUAUACCACUCUCCAUAGACACUUCCCUGUAUUAAAUCCCUAAAGUCUGAAUUUGUGGAAAUACCUGGGCUGAAAAACCCCAGUUUAAGGCUGCCAACAGCUCCAGUGAUUACCUCACUAUCAAUAAGGAGUUGAUUUACUGUUGACUUACAUAGAACAAGACAAUUUUGGAUGGUUGGGCAUGAUCAAUCAAUCAGUUUUCCUGGAUGUAUAUUCUAGCACUAAGUGGCAUAUAUUCCCUUCAAUUAAAUAACAAAAUCAAUCCCAAUUUACAGCUAGAAUCUAUGUAAAUCUCACAUGUCAGCACCACAGAAUAAUCAGGCACAUUAGUUAUUGCUUUUGGUUUCACUGAUUUCUGUGAACUGUUUAUAUUAAUAACCUCUUGUUCUUGAUGCUGAAAUGUUAGAAGGUCAUAUUUUUCUUUUUUCUUUUUUCUUUUUUUGCAUUACUUGAUUCUCACAUAUUAAAAUAGAAAUCUCAUUAAAUCAUUCAAGAGAGAAACCAAAACCCUUUUUAGAAGAAAUGAAAGAUCAGCAAAAGAUCAAAAACAGAGUCAAGGUUUCCCCUACAAUCUGCAAGUAAUUAGUAUUUUUGAAAAGAAUAGCUUCCAUUAUUUGGUCAACUUCUAUUAUUGAACUUAUAUACUAUGAGUAACUAUCAUUAUCCAUACAAAAAGUAGCAGCAAAGACUAAUCACCUGACAGCAUCUUAUAUGAGUCUUUUGUUGGAAGCUAAGCAGUGUGGUUGAGAAAAGUUGCCUAAAGUAGUUGAAGUCAUAGGUCUAAAGACAACAAAACAUCAACAUGAAGCAUCUUCUAUCAAGCUUCCAACAGUGUGAUGGUGGAUUGAGUACCAGAGGAACAAUUUCCUUCCAUCAUAUUCAUAUCGGUGAAGAAAUAAGGCUCUUUGGGCUGAGGUAGUGCACCCUCACUACCCAACAUCAGAACCACAGAAUGCAUGCUUGGUCGAUCCUCUGGGAAACGUUGCACACAUAAUAGACCCAAAUUGAUUGAGCAUAGCACUUCAGAUAGAUUGCAGGUGUUCCCCAUUGAUGCAUCAAUAAAUUCUGAAGACCUAUCUUCCAUAAAGAAUGUCCAUGCCUAGACAGUUUAAAAGAGGAUCAACACUACUUUUAUAUAUUGAAAUAAGGAAAUAUUACCUAAUACUUACAUGCCCAAGAAGACUAAGGUCAUGAUACGGGUGGUUAAAUCCUUUGUUUCUCUUCCCACUUACAAUCUCUAAAACCAAAACACCAAAGCUAAAAACAUCGGAUUUUGUGGAAUACAAUCCUUCCCUUGCAUACUCUGGAGACAUAUAACCUCUACAGGUAACAAUAAAAGAAGGGGUUAAAUUCACAAGCAAUGGAGAUAAAGACUUUAUACAUAUCACUAAAUAUACUUACAAUGUUCUAGCCACUCUUGUUGUGUUUGUUUCAAUUUCAUUUCCUCCAAAACUUCCUGUUAUUCCGAAGUCUGAAAUUUUGGGUAUCAUUUCAUUAUCUAGUAAAAUGUUUUCUGCUUUGAGAUCUCUAUGGAUUAUCCGAAGUCUGGAAUCCCGGUGAAGAUAAAGAAGGCCUUGAGCAAUCCCAUUGAUAAUGAGGAAGCGCUUAGGCCAAUCUAGCACCCUUCUUCGCAUUUGAUCUGUCCAUUUUUUUUUAUCAUUCAAGUUAACCAAUUCUAUUAAAUGGAUUAUUUGAAUAUAAAUGAAAAAUAUUUCAAGAAACAAAUCAUUUCAAAUUCCAUGAGAGUUGUUUAGAGCAAUGACAUAUGAAAACAAAAGUAACUAUAAUUGAAGCUCAUUCUUAGUGAUUAAAGAACAUUGUCAAGGAGACACAAAUAGAUAGUGGAUCUUAAUGGUAGGGUUCAAAACCCCUAACUUUUUAUAUAAGAGCCAAAAUGUUAGAGAAAAUAGGAGUAAGAAAGAUUUUCUAGAUAAAUGCAUCUAUGCUUUAUCUUGUCCCCAACAAUUUUUCUUUGGGAUUUGUUAAAUCCAAUGUAAAUAAAGAUUUUUCCAAGCAUGCAUAGGAGAGGAAAAAGAAAAGAGAAGUCAAUCGACUAGGCAAACAAACUAUAUAGCGGUUUUAGAGAGUCAAACCAAAAAUAAAAAGGUCCAAGCUUUUGUUAGGCAUGUGUUCAUAGAUCAACAAUCUUUCUCUGCCAUGAAUGCAACAUCCAAGAAGCUUUACAAGAUUUCGGUGUUGAAGUUUUGCAAUGGAUUCAACUUCAUUUUUGAACUCUUUUAAUCCUUGUCUAGAAGUUUUUGACAUCAUCUUCACUGCUAUUUCUUGUCCCUCUUGCAAUAUUCCCUGAAAACAUCACAUUCUUUUUAUUAUGCAAGCUUUGUAGAUUAAAAUAAACUUAUCGAUAUUCAAUACAAGGAGUCCUAAAGAAACUAGAGAUACAAAAAUGUUGGCACAUACACUGGCUUCAAGACUUUAAAGCAUAUAGUGGCCUUGGUACAUGUUGCUUCAUUUAGAUACUAUGAGGAUUGGGACGUCAACUACUUCUCAAGAUGUUUAAUUGUGUAUCUAUAAUGUUUUAUUAACUUGUAACUUGUCUUCUUGCCCAAAGGGCAAAGUAUGACCAUACCUUAUAGACAGGUCCAAAACCACCCUCUCCAAGCUUAUUGUCACUAGAAAAGUUAUUAGUGGCAUUUAAUAAUGUAUCCAAGUCAAAUAAUGGUAACUCUAGAUGCUCUUGGCCUUCAUUGUUUUCACCUCCUUUUGAAUUGUGUUCCAUGUAUGCUGCAAAAUGGAGAAUAGAAUGAAGGAUUAAAGAAUUCACAAAUAUGGAAUUUAGCCUAUUUCCAAGCCUAAAUCAUUUCAUUAUUUCUAAAAUCAAGUCAAGUCAAUUCAUUCCUCUUUUUUUUUUAUUAUUAUUAUUAUUACGUAAUCAGACAAUGUGUAAAAGUACUUUUGACUAAUACAUAUGGUGGUAAAAGCACUAAGAUUUGUUACUUACCUUUUCUCUUUGGUUGUUUCUUCCUUUUCUUGAGCACAUACAAGGUCAGGACUAGACUUAAAAGAACUAUUCCUGUAAUUGAUAUAGAGAUGAUAAUGACCUGUUUUUUCUUCUUCUUGGAGCUGCUAUUUAUGCUUGAAGAAGCUUCUUGACACAAAAGGAAAGAAAUUAAGAAGGAAAGCCAGGAAAUGUAACAGAAAAACCAUAAAUUCCUAUGAGCGGUAACCAUUGAUCCAAAAUAUAUUUCUAGUUUACAACCAUGAAAGCAGGAGUUCAAGGAACUACGAUUGCCAUAGGAUUUGAGGGCAUAAAUCAGUUGGUGUAUUGGUGUGUUAUAGCAUUCUUACUAGAAUUGAAAUCUAAAAGAAAAAUAUUCCCAAGUUUUGAGUAGACCUCUGCUUUACACUCUAGUCUUUAGAUAAUACGUAUACUAUUCCAUGAAAUAAUGUGCAUGGUAGUUGGCCUCAGAUUUUUCACAUCAGCAAUAAUUGAGACAGAGGUAAAGCUGGAAGUCACAAAAUCAAACGAUAAAACUAGAGGCACGUAUGCAAGGUGAACAACUGAUUCAAAACCUUUGAAUAAAUAUACCAUGAAAUUUGUAUCAGAUUUAUGUUUCUCAGGUAAGAAAAAGAAAAGUUCAUACCUAAGUCUGCCGCAGCCAUCCUUACAUAAAACUCUUGCCCAUUUUCAGUGAAGUCUCUGAUGUCAAUCAAGUCACCAAACCAGAGCAAGCAUCCACUUCCUCCUCCUCUGAUAUCUGAAUUUGCAUAAGCAGUGCAAGAGCAGUUGCUCAAGCACAGGGAAGCACAUUCCUUAAGGUUCAUGCUUUCAUUAAACCAGGAGCUCCGUGUGUCUGGCAGUUUCACACCAGAGUACUUUACAAAUCCAUCACCCUUCUGGCAAUCCAGUGGAGUACUUCGAACGCAUCCAUUUGACCAGUCUUCCAUGUCCCAAUUGCUUUGGAAC
rnacentral:lncRNA from 1 species